UUUACCUUAGUUAGCAAAAAUCCUAGCCCAAAUUUAGCUCCUAGAAUCUCCACCACCUCUUAGGUCUUCAAGUCUCCUCUCUUCAAACCCUUUUCCUUUUCUCUUGUACUUUCUCUCUCUACCUCUCUCUAAAAAUCUUAUGAAAUGAAAAACGAAUUAUAUUUCUCUUAAGACAAGGUUUAUAUAGGCUAUUCUCAAAUGGGCUUAACCCUAUUGCCUUAGUGGGCUUAACCCACUCAAUCACAAUUUUAAAAUGUUUCUACACGCUUAACGGUAAAAUACUAACAACGGUCACUUACUGGCUCACAACUAUUUACCACACUAGUAACUUAGUAAAAUAAUGGUUCUCACUAAAUACUAAAAAUAAUCCCCACCAAAAAUUACUAAUUUACCCUUACUCACAAAAUGACCACAAUACCCUUCUUAUACCGAAUUCUAAUAAUCCCAACCAAAAUACACACAGAGGCAAUUAAUCACAUAAAAGCAUAUAAAAACACAUAUAAAACAAUUUAAAACAAAUCUAGCGAAAAUCGGGUUGUUACAGUAUGUAUCCUAACACAAAUUAUGCACAUGAAAUAAAGAAUAAUGCAAUAUGUAUUUUUAAUUUGUGCGUAAAAAAACUCAAAGCAUGUUUGUGCAUAAAAAAAGCAAACCUUGACUAAGUUUAUAAAUUCAGCAAUUGGCCUAACUUGAGACAGAUUGGAUAAAUCGUUGUAGAAGAAGCUGAACUCUGACUUAAGUUCUGAUUGAAGCUUUGACUCUGAGCUUGAGAAGUGUUAUGGUCACGACAAUAAUUCAAGAAAUGUGGUCAAAAAACAAUCAAAUCAGAUUAUGAAAUAAUAAGUUACUCUAACACUAUAUUGUGAAAUCAUAAUGCAAACUUACUAAGUCUUAAACUUCUCAACAAAUCUUAACUAACUCAUCUAACCUUUGCAUUACAAAUAAUGAGCUUCAUAUGCUGAUUCUCAUUACUACCAGCCACAAUCCAAGAAUCCAGCACUCCAAAUCCUAUUUUCCAAAUGUUCAAAUCAUUUUUGAGAUCCUUAAUGUAGUCAUAAUCCAUUGACAUAGAAAUACAAUAAUACAUCAUUUAUUUUUAUUCCCUUUCACUACAAGAAAAAAUGCAUUUUGCGACUUUUAAAAUGACAGAUUGCGACUGUUAGAAGGGUCGCAAAUGUACAUUUGCGACUGUUCCCCAACAGACGCGGAUGUUAGGGUCGUAACUGUCUUUUGCGACAGUUUAGAGAACAGUCGCAACAAUUGCCGCAAAAGGUACUGCGACAGUUCCCAACAGUUGCAAAUGUAGAGCUUUCACUAGGUUUUGAAGGGACUUGCGACCCCUCACGACUGUCGCAAAGUAGGCACUUUAAUUUAAUUUAAAUAGGCUUGCGACCCUUCAGAACAGUCGCAAAUGUUUAGUUUUUUUUAAAAAAAAUUAAAUGGGGCAAUUUUUGUUGACGAUUUAAACAAAUAUAUUAAUGAAUACUUAAAAUACAGAAAUAUAUAACUAAAAACAUCUAAAUCCCAUUAUAUGAAUCCACAAAAAUGUUACAAAAUCAAACAAGGAAAACAUAAGAGUUUAUGAAACUGACUCCCAUCUUUAAGAUCUUUAUCAGUUGAGUAUCCUAACUUCGGGAGAGUUUCUGCCACACACACUGCUACAUGAACCUUAUUUGCAAACUUGUAGCAGAAUCGACAAAUACUCAAUCGUUGUAACCCUCCAAUAUAACCUACAAAAAAACACCUUAUUUAAUCAAUGGUCAUCAUAUCUAUCAUCUUUAUAAAUCAAUAUGAAAUUCCAAUCAAUUGAUAUGAAACACACUGAACAUAUUGCCUAAAGACAUAGAACUCUUAGUAAUACUAAUAGCCAUACAUCCAUGAGUAUUUUACAUCUAUUUUUAUUUCUAUUGUUUGUUUCUGAACACAGAACUAGCAAAGACCCAAAAAAUAAAGCAAAAUACAGCCAUUGUAAUUACGCCUAUUGAUCACCCAACAACCUGCUGGACCUAUGACAGCCCCCACGCAACAAAGAAAAAACUGCACUUCACAUCAAGUAAAAAUGCAGCCAGCAGACCCACAAAAACCCGCAAAACCUCCAACACAACAGGCAGCAGCCGUAGCGCAACACAACACAACACCUAUCACAGUCCUAUAGUUUGUGUUCCAUUCGAAAGAAAAAAUGAUAAGACAAGAAUCUAAUUCACAAAAUAGAAACCCGAUAACCUCGGCCUAUGUUUUCUCAACAAAAAAUAUACCCCCUAGCAAAAAGUGUAAAAAAGAGGACAUAACUAGAUCAAUUCAACACUACUACUCUUAUAUCAAUAUAAAGAUCAAUUGUGCCACGUAACAAUAAUUAAUACUCAACAUACAUAUUAUGUAAUCAAACAACACCAAAAUAAAAACAAGUUUUGAAUGGAAGAUUCAUAAAUUGACUACAACCAAAACCAAAAGUUGAGACUGGUUUAAUACAUGCAAUGGUUCAAAACCAGCUUAACUAAUUCACCAAAACAAAUCCAGUUUUUGUAUAAAACCAGGUGGUUCAGUUUUGACAUACAAACCAAAAAAUGAAAUUGAAGGGAAUAACUACCUCUGAAAUAGCGUUGGAAGUUUUGAAAGAUCCCUAAAACCUCCUCCUAAAUUAACUUCACUUUCAUGACCUGAAAAAGAUAUCAUACAUUUAAAAACAAAAAAAUUGCUAUCAUAUUUUAAUGCAUCAGAAAAUUUGAAGGAAAUACGAUUUUCGAUCUGAGAAAGAAAAUAUGCCUACCAAUCAGAUUUUAUGUUCUUCAUCAAAAAUCGCUAUCAUGUUUUAAUAUCAUACACUUAGAAACCAACGUUUGCGUAUAGUCACACCUUCACUCAGCGGGGUUUAACUUACAACAAAAGCUAACUAACACACACAGUUAUAACUGCAAUACUAAAAUCAAUCUAUAGAAACUGCAUAAAUUACAAUUACUUAAAUAUAAAAUCAAUCUAUAAAAAACAAUCAAAUAAUUGAGCGUAAACAGAAAACGAACCAGCAGAGAUCUAAAAAAAAAAUCAAAUUUUACAAAUAAACAAAACACAAGGAAAUGAAAGAAACAAGAAAAUAGGACAACAAGAAAAUGACACAAAUUAUUUGAGGAAGAAUCCAGUUUGAUUUUAGCACUAUUGGUGAUAAUAAAUCUUUAUUAGUCAAGGUAAAUGCUAAAAUGAUUUUGCUGUCAUUAUAGAAGUACCUUUUAAAUAAGCCACCCAUUGAAGCUCCAACGACCAAUUUCGUUAUAGCAUACUUCAUCACUUCCUCUGCCACUGCAGAUGCCACAUCAUCUGAUUCAAUCACUACAACUUCUACAUGCACCUGUUUCAACAAUAGUAUAAGAAUGCAGUUCCUAUAGUGCACUAUUUGUUCAAAUUAAUAUUCAUGAAGAACAAUAUCUUACCUUUCUCUGCUCACACAUUUUCUUAAAAGGUAGAAACAUUUGAUUUGUCUCCAACUCUAUUUCCUUUUUGUAUGUAGCUGCAACAUCAUCACACACUUGUGAAAUUGGGAGAAAAUUUCCCACUGCAAGUACAAAAAUGUUGAAUUAUCAUAACUAAAAAAUAAUCUUGUAAAAUCUUCCACGGCUAUAUCAUAACAGCUAUAGUCACUUCUUGAAAAAGAAAUAAAAAUAUAGCUAUAGUCACUUAUGUAUAAUAAAAUCAUUUGUUAUAUGAAAAAUAUUAGAGUUAGCCAUGUAAUUACUAUUCCUAUCAUGCUGAUAAGUGAUAACUUUAUACAUGGCCAAAAAACUAUUCUACAGUUUUAUCGUUGUUGAGAUCCUCUUAUUCAAUACACAUUAUUUCACGCUUCAGAUGUUCGGCCCUGAACAUGUUGGCCAUACACAUUAUUUCAACAUCGUUGCUACAUAUUGACUAAAUAUGCGACCUAAAUUGUGUUUAUAAGGCUUGGGCAGUUCUCCUCACCUGAAAAUUCGGUUUUUGUGAGGUUGAGUCAUGUUAACAAAAGUAAGGGAAACAUAAAAGUUCUGACUUUCAUACAGAAUGCGAGACUGCCAAUCAUAAGUCAUAACAGCCCUAUAAUAUGUUAGACCAGCAAACCUGGUUCUAAAGUAAACAUAUAAAUAAACGCACAAAAACACAACAGUUGAUCAUAGAGUUUGGCCAAUUGUUCCUACGUCUUCGACGGUGAUCAAAAUUCAUUAACCAAUCUCUUCAAGAUACAAAUGCAUCUUCAUUUUACAGAAAAAAUGUUUUUCAACUUUUAAAUGCAUAAAAUUGUUACUUUGUAUUGUAAAAGAAAAACAAAAACUAUUAAUUGUUAAACACAAUAAACAAUCAUAUUACUUGGUGUGGGAACGACAACUAUACCAGCAUGAACAUGUAUGAGCUUGAAGAUAAUCAUUCCCUUUGGAACAAACUUGUCAAGUGCCCAUUGUAGAACAUAUUUGCUUUUCUUGUUACCCUUGAAUAGUCAAAAAGGAACACAAGAAACAAAAGAUAGACCUUUUCCUUCCAACCAGAUUGAAUAAGUAGCUUCAAAGACAUUGAGCUGCCAUUUUUACCUGUAAAUUUCCCCCACAAAAAAUUACAAAUUCAUAAUAUGUUGAGAGAACCACAAUAGUUAUUAAUAAUAACUUUCUAAUUUAAAUAAUAAUAUUUAUUAAUAAUAAGGUUCCAAUUUUCUAGAAAUUAAAACAAAAAUAUUGAAAGAAAAUCAAAAAACAAGAGGGAUAAAGAAGAAAAUACUUACGAUUUUUCAUUAUGUUUGGAUUAUCUCUUUUUCCAGAUGAAAGAUGAAGUGACGAAACAAAUCUGACCUGAGACUGGGGUUUAACGAAAUUGGGAACGGAUUAGGUUUCAUUUGAGGGUUAAAUCUUCUUUUUCGGUUGGAGUUUUGAAUCGGACAUGAGAGAAGAAAGAAGGGAUGAUCGAUUGAAGGUUUAGAGCAAUCGUGAGAUAAGAGAGGGUAUUUUGGGACGGCCGAUUGGGUUUCGCUUUUGGGAUGUUUUGGAUGGACAGAGGGGUUUUUUGGUGGUGAGAUUUUUUGUCUUUUGAUAAUCCAGGAGAGAGAGAAAGGGCUAGUGCGCUAUAUGUUAAAAAGCAUAUUUAAUUUCACUCCAAAAGUUGCAGCGGUUGGCUUUACCCGUCGCAAGACCCGCCUCAAAUAUACAAUUGCGACCCUUAUUAUUGAACAGUCGCAGAUUAUGUGUCGCAAAAUGACAAAUUUCUUGUAGUGUUUGUUCAUUCUGAUAUCGAAAGAAGCUAACAUAUUUCUAUGUGAUCAAUUUUUGUAUCAUCAAAUCAACCUGAUCUUAAAUGCAGAAAUUUCUGUAUCAUCAACUUUCUGGACCUCAAUGAUAUGACAAAAACAAAUUUACACCAAUCAACUUUCGUACGGCUCAAUGAUAUAGGAAAGAAUAAACCAAAUAUGAAAACUGUUACAACUUUAGGAUUACUCACAAAAACUAAAAUAACCCACAUGCAUCAAUUUUUUUUUCAACUUCAGUACCAGAAGCUAAAAUAACAAUUGUGUCAAAACCUUACCAUGAGCUAAAAUUCAAUCAUCAUGACCUCUACUAUAUUCCACAUAACAAAGGAAGAUUUUUCUACAGUCAUGCAACAUAACAAUAUCUGGUACAUAAUCCAUUAACAAUUGAAAAAAAACAAAAAACAAAACCCUUAAAAUGCAGAAUCGUGAAAAAAGGAAGAAAGCCACCUAUGAUGAAGCAAAAAUUAAAACAGUGUCGAAAAAUGAACCCCUCAAGCCAUUAAAAUCAGUCAACUCAAGUCAUGCAUGGUCUCAGAACCAUGAAAAAAAGGAAGAAAAUGACCUCUUUUGAAGAAGAAAGUGAAAUAGUGUUCCCAACUGAACUUAGAUAGCGUUUGGCCAAGGUUUUUUACGGUCUAAAAAUUACUUCAAAACAAAGUUAAAAUAAAGGCCUUUAAGAAAGAAACUAAAGUUGUUUGGUUCUUUGUUUUUUAGAUUUAAAGCUAUUUUAAAGUUAAAUGUUAUUUGGCCAAAUAUUGUACAAACUUUGAUUUUAUUUUUUUUAUGGUGUCCGGGGUUCGAACCUCAGACUUGGCAUAUAUUUAUGCAUUGUUACUAUCAACUGAGCUAAGCUCACGAGGACAAAACUUUGAAUUAAUUAUGAAUUAACAUAAUAAAUAAAUAAAAUGUUUAAAAUAUUUUCUAAAGGCUAAAAAUGUUAAAAAAAAUGAAAGUUUUUUUUUACAAAUACUAUAUUUACUCAAUAACGUUUAUUUUGUGUAAAAUGAAUACAAAUUUGUAUCAACAUAUAAAUGACUUGUUAAAUAUUUGAAUAUAGGAGAAACAAUUUAAGGAGCCUGAAAUAAUAACAUAAAUAAUAUCAAAAUAGUUGGUUUUUUCUAUUUCAAUUAUACUUUAUAACAAAUUUCGUUAUAAAAAUACCAUGUUUUUGGUGUCUUUUAAAAAAAUAAGAAUUUUAUAUUAUAUGAUAUUAUAUUUGUUACAUUGUUGGUCUCAUGGAAACAUAUAUGUUUAUUUUUUUUAAUAAGAAAAAGAUAUGCAUAGUUUAUUACAAUAUAAAGGUGCAAUAUAUAUAUAUAUAAAAGUAUAAUUUUUUUAGGCAUCUAUACCUUUUUUGAAGAAAAGACAUCUACAAUUUUAAUUUUAGUUAAAAUCAAAAUUUUAUAAAAAUAAUCAUACGCAUUAUGCAGCGCCAAAAAAAAUUAUACGCAUUAUCGUGACAAAAAAAUAGACACACGUAAAGUAUUACUCUAAACUCUAAUGUGUGUGUAUGUAUAUAUAUUUGCGACGUUGAAGAAAGAAAAUAAAAUUAUUUAGUAACAUUAAAUGACAGUGUGAAUAAAAAUAUUUUUGAGGUUGUGAUGAUUAAACGAUAUUGAAAUUAAAUAUAUAAGUGAUAAAAAGAUAAUAAAAUUUAUUUGAAAAAAAAGGUAGUAAAAUUAAAUGGAACCUCCUUAAAAAAAAUUAAAUGGAACGGUUCAAAAAAUAAUUAAAUGGAAGAAAAAACAUUGAAAUAUAAUAUUAAAAAAUAAAAGAAAAGUUUCCCAACGUGAAUUGAAGAGAGAUGCUUGUGAAAUAAAUUGUUGAGAUGUUGUUUUUUGAAGUAACAUUCAACAGCUUUUGGCCAAAGCUCAUUCCAUUCAAAUAUAUGCAUUAAAAAAAAGUACAUUUUUUUAGUAAGUACUUAAUUGAUAUUGUAUUUGGCCUAACUUCUCCUUAAAAUUGUAAUGAAGUUGAAAAAAAAAACGGGUCAAACGGUAUCUUAGGUACCGUUUGGCCAGACUUUUUUUCGGUUAAAAGCUACUUUAAAACAAAGUUAAAAUAAAGCUCUUUAAGAAAAAAGUUAAAGCUGUUUGGAUUCUUUAUUUUUUUUAGUUCUAAGGUUAUUUUAAAUUAAAAGUUAUUUGGCAAAAUAUUGUACAAAACUUUGAAUUUAUUAUUUUUUUUGGUGGUGUCCGGGAUCGAACCAGCGACCUUGCAUAUAUUUAUACAUUGUCGAUAUCAACUGAGCUAAUCUAGAGAAUAGUUUGUUUUUUCUUUUUCAAUUAUACUGUAUAACAAAUUUUGUUAUAAGAAUAUCAUAUUUUUGGUGUUAUUUAAAAAGAUAAGAAUUUAUAUUAUAUGCUAUUAUAUUUGUUACAUUGUUGGUGUCAUUGAAAAAUAUAUGUUUAGUUUUUUUAAUAAGAAAAAGAUAUGCAUAAUUUGUUACAAUAUAAAUGUGUAAAAUAUAUAUAAGUAUAAUGUUUUUAGGCAUCUAUACUAGUACUUUUAAUUAAAACCAAAAUUUUAUAAAAAUAAUAAUUGUACGCAUUACGCAACACUAAAAAAAUUAUACGCAUUAGCGUAACAAAAUAUUUGGUGUCAUUCAAUGACAGCACGAAUAAAAAUAUUUGUGAGGUUGUGAUAAUUAAACGAUAUUAAAAUUAAAUAUAUAAGUGAUAAAAAGAUAAUAAAAUUCCUUCAAAAAUAGAUAAUAAAAUUAAAUUGAUCCUCCUUUAAAAAAAAUUAUAUGGACCGGUUCAAAAAAAAAAAGGAAGAAAAAAACAAAUUGAAAUAUAAUAUUAAAAAAUAAAAGAUAAGGUUGCCUGCGUGAGUUGAAGAGAAGUGCUUGUGAAAUAAACUAGAGAGAAGUAAUUUUUUGAAGUAGCAUUCAACAACUUUUGGUUAAAGCUCAUUCCAUUCAAUUUUAUGCAUUCUAAAAAAAGUAUUUUUUUUCGAAGGUACUUUAUUGAUAUUGUGUUUGGCCUAUCUUCUCCUUAAAAAUGUAGAAAAGCUGAAAAAAAAAAUCCGGGCCAAACGGUGCCUUAAUCUCCCACAACGGCAGUGUAGAAGCAUCUGAAUUUGGGAGAAAAAAUUGAAAAGUAGUUAAAAAAAAACUGAAAAAUAGUUAAAAGUUUUUAAAAAUAUAAAAAUUGAAAAAUAGUUAUAAAAAAAUCGGUGAGGUAGCAUUCAACCAAGCAACACUAAAAAAAAAUUAUAUGCUUUAGUGUAACAAAAAAACAGACAAACAGACAUAAAAUAUUACUCUAAACGUUAAUGUGUGUAUGUAUAUAUUCGCGAGGUUGAAGAAAGAAAAUCAAAAUAUUUGGUAUCAUUAAAUGACAGCGUGAAUAAAAAUAUUUGUGAGAUUGUGAUGAUUAAACGAUAUUGAAAUUAAAUAUAUAAGUAAUAAAAAUAUGAAGGUGAGAAAAACACAAGAAGGGGGGUUGAAUUGUGUUAGCUUUUUCUUCGUUUUCUCCUAAGCUGAAAACACUGAUCAGAAGCAGAUAGAGUUCUACUUCUGAAGUGAUGUUCAUAACUAACUUGCAGCGGAUAAAAAUAGAGAGAAAGAGAGAGAGAGAGAGAGAGAGAGAGAGAGAGAGAAGAAAGACACAAAGCAAUUAUACAGGUUCCUUUCACAAACCGGAAGUAUUCCUGUCCCCCUUGCACUUCAAAGGAGAGUUCACUAAAAAUGUAAUAUCUGAUUACAACUGCUCACUGCUAAACUUAGCAAGAGACUUCAAAUUGCUCAAGCACAACUACAAGAGACUUCCUAUGCUCCUGAGCACAAUCAAGAGACUUCUUAUGCUCAAGCACAAUUGCAAAGAGACUUCUAAUCAAACAGAAUUACAAAGAAAAAUGUUUGAGGUUGAACACUUGAUAUACAGUCAGUGGUGUUCACAAUACAAAUCAGAUACAGACUCUUAAGACUCUAUAAUUUCUAAGAUAUGAACUUUGAAAAAGAAAUUCUAAGUGAACUUUUGAAUGCAGAACAAUUUCAGUAGAGUUUUGGUACUAGUAAACUGUUGUUGAGUCCUUGCCAAUCUCUAAGUCUUCCCUCCUUUAUAUAGAGGUGUGAAAGAGACGUUGUGAAUUGCCAACACAUCAAAAUAGAGUCGUUUGAAGCUUUGAUCAAUCACCAAUGAUCUUUUUCCUGAUAUGGUUAUUGUCCUAUGAAGGAUCAAUUUCAAAUCCAUUCCAAUUGUGAAGGAAAAUCGUUGCAGGCAGAGCUGUUUUUCUUGUCUUGUAGCAGAGACAAAAAGAGAGUAGUGGAGGUAGCGGUUGUACACUUCGUACAAUUGUACUUUAAGUUUUCUGCAAUGCUUAGACGAGAUUAAAUCCAUUGAACAACCUUUGAAGCUUUAAGUCUUGCAUCUCCUGAUGAACUUCAGCUUCUGAUGCGAUGCUUCUGAUGACGUCAUCACUUCAGGAGCACUAUACUUCAGGAGCACUUCUCUUUAGAUGCUUCAAGCUUCCUUUUUGUUGAUUUCAUUGCUCUCUUUCGUUCUUCCAGAACCUAUUUAAGAUGUCAAAUUUUUGUCUAUGGUCCUAUACACUUGAACAAAUAUUAGCAUAUCCAAUUGACAAUUUUUAAUACCUUGUUAUCAUCAAAACUCUCAAAGGGUAAUAUUAAACACAUUUUGUUCCAAAAAAAUAUAAUAAAAUUCCUUUGAAAAAAAGAUUAUAAAAUUAAAUGGAACCUCCUUAAAAAAUUAAAUGGAACGGUUCAAAAAAAUUAAAUAAAAUAAAGUUAAAUGAAAGAAAAAAACAUAUUGAAAUAUAAUAUUAAAAAAUAAAAGAAAAGGUUCCCAGCGUGAGUUGAAAAGAGGUGCUUUUGAAAUAAAUUGUCGAGAAGUAGUUUUAUGCAUUCAAAAAAAGUAUUUUUUUUAGUAAGUACUUAUUGAUAUUGUGUUUGGCCUAACUUCUCCUUAAAAAUGUGGAGAAGUUGGAAAAAAGCCGGGUCAAAAGAUAUCUUAGUCUCCCACAAUGGCAAUUUAGAAACAACUGAAUUUGGAAGAAAAAAUUGAAAAAUAGUUAAAAAUAUAAAAAUUGAAAAAUAGUUAAAAGAUAUUAAAAAUAUAAAAAUUAAAAAAUAAUUAAAAAAAUUGGUUCGGGGCAAAAAUGAAAAUUCAUAGGCCAUUGGUGAGUUGGCACUCAACCAAAGCCAUGAAUUAUGAAAUUACCAAAUUGCCUCUCGUAAGAGCAAAAAUAGAAAUUCAUAUGGCAUCAAUUUUAAUAAAUAGUAUAUAGAUAAUGGAAAAUGCUAUUUCUCUAGAAAAAUGCUAAUACAAUACUUAUGUUCUUUCUUAUGUUUUUCUUCUCUUUUAUUUCUUUUGUCGUGGAUUGGGCAUAGCCCCCAAUUCUUUGUAUUUCUUUUUCUAUUUAUUAUAAAUAUAUUUGUAUUUUAUUUGGGGUAUUUUAGGAUGUCACCUAAUUGAGAUGUCUUUUUUUUUUUUUUUUUUUUGUAGUGGUUAGGGGUUGAACUCCGGACCUUACGUGUUUUAUGCAUUGUUCCAACCAGCUGAACUAAGCUCACGAGGACACCUAAUUGAGAUGUCUAACUACCACUUUAAUGCAAGUUCAUACUCUUCGUUUAUCAAAAAAAGAAAAUGCUUCAUCCUUACAGUGGUUUAUAUAAACUAACAGUACUUAAUAAACAAGUAAUAACACUCAAAAGUUUUUUGUCAAAUAAAAAAAAAAAAAAAACACUCAAGAGCCUAUUUAGUAUUUUUCAUAAAUAUAGAUCACUUAUAUAUAUUGUAGCAUUAUGCAGCCAUCAUUAUUUUUGUUUGUCUAAGUUUCACAUUCGACUGUGUAACUGAGUCUUAUUCUCUGGUCUUGAUUGUUCCUCAUGGCAGUCCAAUAUGCAACUCAACUUCAUUGUAUGCAUGGAAGUGACUUGCAAUGAGACAGAGAGGAAUGCACUCCUCAGCUUCAAGCAUCGAUUGUCUGACCCUUCAAAAAGGCUUUCAUCAUGGUCUGAUGCCGACGAUUGCUGUCGUUGGAUGGGAGUUCGAUGCAACAACAUCACAGGCCGAGUCAUGGAACUCGAUCUUAGCACACCUCUUGACUCUCCAUACAUGCAAUUGAGUGGUGAGAUUAGUCCUUCCUUGUUAGAACUAAAAUGUUUGAUUGAUUUGGACUUGAGCUUAAAUUACUUUGUCCAUACUAAAAUACCAAGCUUUUUUGGCUCUAUGGAGAGGUUAAUUAUUACCUAGACCUUAGUUUAAGUGGUUUCAUGGGACAUAUCUCUCAUCAGCUAGGAAAUCUCUCAAACCUAAAGUACCUUAAUCUUGGAUUCAAUUAUCCUCUUGAAAUAUAUAAUCUUGAAUUGAUUACAAAACUUCCUUCUUUAGAACACUUUGAUUUAAGUGGUGUAGACCUUCAAAAAGAAACAGAUUGGUUUGAACUAUUGAGUAAUUCAAUUCCUUCUCUUUUAGAAUUACAUUUGGAAAAUUGCUAAAUUGAUAACAUAAAACCAGCAAUGAAAACAAAUUUCACAAAUCUCCAAGUCUUUGAUCUUUCAAAUAACAAUCUCAAUCAUGAAAUCCCUUCAUGGUUCUCCAAUCUAAGUACAAAACUCUUGUCCAACUUGAUUUGAUUAGUAACUUUCUACAAGGAGAAAUUCCUCAAAUCAUCUCAAAUCUUCAAAACUUAAAAGACUUUAAUUAGACCUUCAAAGAAACCAACUCAGUGGUGCACUUCCUGAUUCAUUAGACCAACUUAAGCAUCUUGAAGUUCUAGAUCUUAGUAACAAUACCAUUGUCCAUUCAGUUCCCUCGACAUUUUCAAAUUUAUCAUCAUUGAGGACAUUAAAUAUUGGUCACAAUCAACUGAAUGGUACAAUUCCCGAGAGUUUAGGGUUCCUUAGAAACUUGCAGGUAUUAAACCUUGGAGCUAAUUCCUUAACUGGUGGAAUGUCUGCAACUCUUGGAAUUCUAUCAAACUUUGUGACAUUAGACCUUUCAUCGAAUUGUUUGGAAGGACCAAUCCAAGAAAAAAGUCUCGAAAAACUUUUCGAAUUAAAGGAACCACGUUUGCCUUCGACCAAUGUGUUCCUCAAUGUCGAAUCGAGUUGGACUCCCGUUUUUUUAACUUGAAUAUGUUUUACUGAGUUCCUGUGGAGUAGGUCCCAAGUUUCCGUCUUGGUUGAAAAUGCAAAGUUCCGUCAAAUUGAAGUGCUUACAAUGUCGAAUUCUGGUAUUUUUGAUUUGGCUCCAUGUUGGUUUUGGAAUUAGACUUUGCAGAUUUAAUUUCUAAAACUUGAGUUCUAAUCAUUUCAAAGGUAGAUUGCCAAGUGUGUCUACAAAUAUUGAUGUGUUAAAUAUUGCCAAUAACUCAAUUUCAGGUCCAAUUUCUUCAACUUUUCUAUGCAAAAAAAUGAAUUUUGAGAACAAGUUAACUGUGCUUGAUGUUUCAAAUAACUUGUUAUCUGGUGAUCUUGGUCACUGUUGGAUACAUUGGCAAAAUUUAAUGCACUUGAAUUUAGGAAGAAACAAUUUGUCUGGUGAAAUUCCAAAUCCCAUCGGUUUUUUAUCUGAACUUGAAUCUUUGCUACUAGAUGACAAUGAUUUUUAUGGAUCCAUUCCUUCCACUCUGCAAAAUUGUUCUAUGAAGUUCAUUGACUUGGGAAAUAACAAACUUUCUGACACAUUGCCAUCUUGGAUUUGGGAAAUGCAAUAUCUAAUGGUUCUUCGUUUGCGAUCUAAUGAAUUCAAAGGUUGCAUUACUCAAAAGAUGUGCCAACUUUCGUCCCUUAUUGUGCUAGAUAUUGCCAACAAUAGCCUAUCAGGAACAAUCCCCAAUUGUUUGAAUGAAAUGAAAACACUGGCGGGUGAAGAUGAUUUCUUUGCCAACCCUUUAAAAUAUUUCUAUGGUUUUGGCUUUAACUAUAACAAUUACAAAGAAAGUCUUGUCCUUGUUCCAAAAGGAGAUGAGUUGGAGUAUAGAGACAAUUUGAUACUUGUGAGAAUGAUUGAUCUUUCAAGUAAUAAUCUUUUUAGAACUAUUCCACCUCAAAUUUCGAAGCUAUCUGCACUUCGGUUUUUGAACUUGUCUCGAAACCGUCUUUAUGGAGAUACCAAAUGACAUGGGGAAAAUGAAAUUGUUAGAAUCAAUUGAUCUUUCAUUGAACAAAAUUUCAUGUCAAAUACCUCAAAGUAUGUCUGAUUUGUCAUUUUUAAGUUUCCUGAAUCUAUCAAACAACAACUUAUCAGGAAGAAUUCCAACUAGCACUCAACUUCAGAGCUUUGAAGCACUUAGCUAUGCAUGUAAUCCUUAGCUAUGUGCUCCUCCUGUGAUGAACAAUUGUACCAAACUUAAACAAGUUUUGGAGGGUGGAAAUUCCGAUGCAGGUUUCUUCAACACAUCAGAUUUCUACAUAGGAAUGGGAGUUGGAUUUGCAGCAGGGUUUUGGGGGGUUUGCAUUGCUACUUUCUUGAUCAGAACUUGCAGGCAUGCUUAUUUUCAUUUUCUUGACCGCUUGAAAGAUCUUGUUUAUGAUACCUUUGUCUUUAUCUGUCAAGAGGGAUGAAAAUGUGGGAAUUGGACCAUACCGCCGCUAGGAGUCUGGUCGAUAUUGAAGUUGUAUUGAAGUCUCGUAUUGUUAAGAUUACCACGAUGUUGACACUUAUUGUUUGUACUGGGUUUGUGUUAUUGGUGUCUUUAAAUAAUAUAAACUUAAUUACAUUUUUGUUCAUUUAACUUAGUUUUAGUCCUUUCAUAAUUUUAUGAGCUAUCUCCAGUAUGUUUCUUAUCAUGUGCUUAGAGGAAUCAAACCAAACAAAACGCUAUACAAAACCAAAUAAAAAAAUCCAAACCAACAGAGGGAAUAACAAUCAAAACAGAAAUACUCAGAUAGACGAACCGCAAUAAAGUGAGCAUCAACCAAAGAAAAAACAAUCAAAGAAAAAGAGAAGAAAUAACAUACCAACAAAGAAAAGGGAAAUAAAAGAGGAAUCACACAACACACAAUACUGUGUUUUUAUUUAUAUAUUGUGUUCUUUAACCAUCCCUUCCUAUCAUACGAUGAUGUUUCUCAUCCACUCAAAAAAAAAUUGUGCAAUUAUGUUGCAAGUUAUUGUGAUGAAAAAAUGGGGUGCUGUUCAUAAUUGGUUUGGUCAAAAUAAAAACCAAAUUAAUGGGAUGGUAAUGAUUUUUUUAUACAACUUGCUAACAUGGAAAUAAGAUUAUGCAUGUUUCUUACAGAUUUUUUCAUCAAUUUAGAGCAGUUUCAACAAUAGAUUUGAAAUAAAAGAGAAAAAAAAAAUAAAAGUAAGAAUUGAAAAGCUUACAACAAUGGGAGAAACAUUCAAUCGUUUGAUAGAGUAAGAUUGACAUCAUCAAGAAGACACUACAUUUUUAAUUUCUAACAGAGUACUAACGGUGUUAAAUGAAAAGGGAUAUAAUAUAUAUUUUAAAAGACCUUAGGGGAGGUUAAUGUUUAUUAUAAAAUUAAAGGGGUCUGGUUUUUCUGUGAUUGUGUGAUGUUACGCGUCUAUUAUGGUUGUAUUCAUCAUAUCGGCCAACAAAUAGCAUCACGAGCUUGGUUUAUUCGGUCACGGUUUAAUUAACGAAAGAGUUUAUAUUACAAGCAAGGAUCCUAAACCGGCGUACAGUACAGUUUAUAUUGGAAAGAAUGCAUGAGCGUGCAUAUACGAUCGGUUGACAUGGAUGUUUGAGUUGUUGUCGUCAACGGGUGGUUUGAACCGCAAAUAGACGUUUGUGGUGUCAUGCAAAACGAGCCUAAGGCCGAUUGAACAGCCGAUGAUAAAAAUAAUUCCGAUACAAUUUGAAAGCAAGGAACACACUCAUAUUGGCCUUAGACGUAUAUGAGUGUCACUCGCUUUCAUAUUGUAAAAUGACUAAAGCAAUGUGGGACACUUGAGAACCCUCUAUGGGGGUACCAAAGACGUUAAACAAUCAAAGAUUAAUACACUUACUCAAUAAUAUGAGUUGUUUCAUAUGAAAUAAGAUGAAAACCUCACUUCUAUUCAAAUGAGAUUUACUCAUAUAGUUAAUAAGCUACAAAACCUUGGUAAAACAAUUUCAAACAAAGAUUGAAUUAAUAAGGUCUUAAGAUGUACGACUAGGGAAUAGAAACCAAAGGUUAUCGCCAUCAAGGAGUCUCGAAAUCUCAACACUCUAGACAUCACCGUCUUAUUUGGAAAGCUCAAGGAACAUGAGCAUGAAAUGACAAGGUUGAAAGUUAGUGAGAAAAAUGUUAAGAAGAAGGAGAAGAAGUUCAUCGCAUUAAAAGCCUCUUCUUCCAAGGUUACCUUUAUGGUUCAAUAAGAUAGUGAUUUCAAUGAAGAUUCACCUAACGAAGAGGAAAUGGGGUUGAUUGUAAGACGAUACAAUCACAAAUUUCAAAAGAAUGGUUUGAAACAUAAUGACAAAAACGGAUUAAUUUUAGGAAGGCUUCACUCAAAUGAGAAAAAUUUGAAAAAGGGUGUUUUUGAGUUAUUUUGGGUGAGUGGUGAUUUUGUGAAACAACAACUUAUAAUUAAUUACAUUUUGAGCGAUUUUGGGUUAUGUUAUAAGUUAUUUUGGGUAAUAAACUUAUAAGUUGAUUUUAAAAAAUAAAAAAAAUAAAAAACUUUUUUUUUUUUUAAGAAACUAAGCUAGCUAACCUAUAUUGAAAAAGAGACAGAAAAAAAACUUAUAAGUUGAUGUUUCACAAAAUGUAAAAGAACAUCACUCCCUCCGUCCAAAAACAUAUAGUAAUUUGAGAGUUUAGUAGCUUUUUUUUGUUUGUAUAGACGAAAUGACAGAGAAUUGAUUUUAACUUAUAUAAACCAUUAUUUACACUUGAAUAUAAGGCAAGCGGACAAUAAGAUGCGCUGCUAGACCUUUUUAGAUGACAAAGCUAAUCCUCGUAAACACAACAUUCAUGAAUCUAGGAGACAUGACAUUGCUAUGCAUGAACUUUUGAACUCUAUGUAGAAGGUCAACAACCUCUGGUGCUAGAAAACCAAAGUGUCAAAAGCAAAUUAUAUAAAAGCAUGUUGAUUGUCAGAACACGCUUUCUCAUGUUUGGCCACUUUGUUUGACGCAGCUUUUAGGGUUGUUUGUCCUACGGUAAAAGGCCCGACACCUAAUCCCACAAGUGGUGAAACCCCAGUCAAGUCUACACAUGCAUGUUUUCCUCCUACCUAUCCGUACACCAUAACAUCCGCUGGCCUGAGUGUUUAUCUUCUAUCUAGUGGGUCAUUCAGGAAGUUCACAAGCACCUCUUUCUUCAUUGAUACUCCCGCCUAUCUGAAUAUAUCAAAAAGUACAUCCCUAAUAAAGUCGUGUGUGUACUUAAAGUCGGGAAGCUCCUUACAAUGAACGACAUGGUCCCCAAAAGUAUCCAGGCACGCCUUACGACAAACAUGACACACCUCAUCAAUAGAAAAUAAUGGAAUCAUAAGACGAUAUCUAAGGAUAGUACGAUACUCCAUUGGUGACAUAUGCUGACCUAACAUAUCAAUCGGGAUAGCUAAUGAAAUAGUUAUUGAAACUCACGCACAAAUAAAAAGACUGAGGUUUAAAUUCCAAUCACGAUGUACGGCUUAACAAUAUCAACAUUUUACCGGUUGGCAGCUUUAUAUAUAUAUAUAUAUAUAUAUAUAUAUAUAUAUAUAUANUUAUUUUUCUUUCAUUUUCUUGGAUAUUCAACGUAUAUAUAUAUAUAUAUAUAUAUAUAUAUAUAUAUGCAUCUAUGACGUAUGAUUAAUUCAGUGAUAAAGACCACAUUAAAUUGAGAUUUUCGUACCAUUAUUGAAUUGGCAAGUGUCUUAGUCCAAGGGAUUUGGCCACUUCCGUUUGAUUGAAUUGAUCACUAUCCGAAAGUUCAAUCUAGAUGAAUGUGAUUUUUCCUCUAAUCGCUUUCCCACCCAAUUCCAGUACCUCAAUUUCUAUCAUAUAGUUUUUCUUUGUUGUUGACUCUUUCAAUGAUAAAUUCUUCAAAAAAAAAAAAAAAAAGAGACUCUUUCAAUGAUAAUGAAACCUGCCCGAAUUAUUUAAGACUUUGCUUUUAUUUUUGGAUUGAGUACAAAUUCGUGCUCAAGUGUGGUUGCUUUCUUUUCAUGACUUUUUUUGGUUCCUUAAAAAAAAAAAACUUCAUUGGCCUUUUUGUUUUGUAUUAAGUUACGAGUGCAAUGCAAACAUAUCCAUGUGUUUGAUUUACUUUGUCUUAUCGUCAAAUUCCCUAAACAAGAUUAGUAAUUGAUAAGAUAUUGUAUGGAUAGGAAAUCAACUUACUUCAUAACUAACUUUUAUAAGAAUUACUCUACUUAAUAACUAUUUGUAAACUUUAACUUUCAUUGAUCUAACUAUCAAAAUAAUAGUUUUUAUUGAGUAGAUCAAAUUUGUAAAGUUGAAUCAAAUUUGAAAAAAUAUUUGAUAUUUUAUUACAUAAUGAAAUUACAUUCAACGUAUUUUUUUAGUUGGAAUUCAACGUAUUUUAAUGGCAAAGAUGGAUUGGUGUCAUAUGAAUUUUCAAGCCGUGAAUUUUUAUGAAGUUAAGGGCUUGUAUAAUGCGCAUCAAUAGAUCCUGGUAACGGGGGUCUCACAAAUGUUAAUUUUUAACUUGAUUUUAAAAAAGUAGUGGAUGACAUUCAAAUUGAAAAACCUAAUAGAUUAGGAUAUGACUUUUUUUUAUUUCAAGGGAUUAGUGAUAUACAAGUAAAAUAUUAACUAAAUAUCCUUUUUUUUUUAGGUAGUUUAACUAAAGAAUAAAGAUCCUAUAACUACUAAUAUCCAACUUCAAUAUUUUUUAGUUAUGUAUGAUUGAUAAAAUAAUAUAAAAUAUUUAAUGUACAAUUUAUGAAAUUUAAUAUCUAAGCAGGAAACAUUGUAAAUAUUUAUUUUUUCAAAAAAAAAAUUGAAAAGAGUAAUUUUUUUACAAAAUAUACUCCUGCAAUAAGUUGAUGGCUAUCUAUACUUCAAAUCUAUAGUUUUGUUUUACAAUACAUUAUAGUGUUUUUUUGUUACUACAUAAUAGUGUUUAAUAUGGAAAAGAUUUAUUUAUGAAAUUUUAAAAUAAUAAAUUGAGAACAAAUAAUACUUUAUUAAAAUUUAUCAAAAAUACGAGGAUUCAGCGUUGGACCGGGUCUAUAUUAGAUAACCCCUUCAAACUUUAUAUGUAUUCGUGAAUUAAAUAGUUAUAAAGUAACUCACAUAUUGAUUGACCUAAAUUUAUCUUAGGUUUUAUGAGCUAAGUGAAUUCACACCUACAACUAAGAUUGAGAUCAAGAUAUUAAUGAAAUUCAAUUAAAGAACAAUCUUUUGAGAGAACCCAAGUUGUAUCAUUACUGGAAUACUCCAUCCGUCCCAAAUUGUACGACGUUUUGACCAUUUCACACGUAUUAAGAAAUGUAAUUAAUAUUGUGUGGGGAAGAGAAAUUAUGAGUUGAUUUACAAAAUUAUCCCUUAAUAAAUGGUAUGGAAAAGAUAAAUGAAAUAAUUGAAAGAAGAGGGAGUAAUUAAUAGUUAAGGAUAUAAUAGGAAAAGUAACAUUAAUAUUUCAUUGGUUUUGUAAAGCGACAUAUAAUUUAGUACAAUUUUUUUUUAAAGCGACAUACAAUUUAGGACGGAACGUAUUGGUCAAACUUUAAUCGUACCUCCAAACAAAUUUCAAAUUUUCAUGUGUUUUUUUUUUUUCUUGAGAACAGAAGGGUUAAUAACCACAAAUAUUAAACUCACCUACAAAAACCAAAAAACCAAAUGCAAAUGUUGGAGACAAUUCAACUGCUACCUCUGCUUCUUCAUCUGCAUUCUGGUAGCUAUUCAAAAAAGUGAGAGAGAUUAAUCACGAGAUCUGAGCUAGGGCUUAUGUUCAUGGGACCAUUUUUGUUGGACCAUAAUGUAUUGUCAUGUGUAUGUUAGUUACCCUUAUGGCCCCAUAACACAAGCAGUUAAUUGGUCAAUUUUUCAGAUAAUGUCUUUAGAGAUUCCAUUCAGUAGAGUCUCUUCCCUUAGUUGCAACUUUUCUUUAUUUUUUUCUUCAAUCUUAUUCUUCAACUCUAUGUGUUACAAGUAUCCAGAUGGCGAUAACAGAAGAAAGAAACUUCAGAGACAGUUUAAAAAUUAUGUAAAUGAUCCUUUUGCAUUUCCCUUUCAGAAAGGAGUGUUUAAGAACAAUGUUUUUUUGUCUUUCUUUCAUCUUCAUUCUUCAUUCUUUUGCUUUUGUUCAUAUUAUAUAUUCUUUCUUGUUUUCUUCUUAUAUUCUUGAACUUGUUGUAUUGUUUUGUGUUUUAUUGAAAUUAUUGUGUGCUAUUGUCUCGUCAAUAUUCUCAGGUUUUUUUUAUGGAAAAGCUGCUUCAACUGAAUUAACUUUUUUAACAAAUUCAAGUUUUUCCCUAAAAAAAAAAAGAAACAAAUUCAAGAAGUUUUAUCUUAUAUGUUUACUUUAAUUUCUUCUUAGUGUUGGGAUAUUUCUUCGACCUUUAAUGGCAGAAAAUAUAUUGUUCUUCUCCAACAUAAAGCAUUUAUGUUUUAGGGUUUCACGUACGAAAAGGAAUUCGAGCAAUCACUACUUUUCUUCUUUUAUUUUUUAUGGACUUAAAAAGAUGCCAGCUGGGUCACUUCUCUUUCCUUCAAAAUUAUUGAAAAUUGUCUCUUUUGAAAUAUCAUAUUCUAGAUAUUUUUAUUCUUUUACGUUUCAAGUUAUGCGAAAAUGAGAAUAACCAACAAAAAAAAGUUACGCUAAAAUCAGAAGACUUGUUUCUGGUAUUCAAGAGUUUCAAAACUAAUUGUUUCACACCAACAUUUAGGUUGAUUAAGUUUUAUGAGUUUAUACCAGUCUAUACACUUUUUACAACGGUUAGAAAUUGGUGUACAAGGGUACAAAAUUAAUGUAAAAUACCCAAAAUCAAAAAAUAAUGUACAAAAUGGAUGUAAAAUACCCACAAAAAAAUAAUUAUUGAUUUUUUUUUUUUGAAAGAUAAUUAUUGAUGUUUGUUAUUAUAGUGAUUUUUUUUUUUUUACCAACAAAAAUUGUAUUAAGCUGGAAAAGAAAAGCAAUCGGUACUUUACUUAUAAACCGGGAUUAAUAAGUACGAUGGGUAUUUGACACAUCAAAGCAAAUUAAAUACAGUAAGCAUCACCAAGAGGCAUUAGUGAGAAUACAAUAUAUUUCUUCCUUCAAAAAAAAAAAAAAUACAAUAUAUUUCUUAAACCGAAUCUAAAGUUUUAGCAUGUUUUCUUAUUAUUUUUUAUGGAGUGUUGAUUAUUUCACAUAAUCAGAUUUUAUGGUAGGUCAUUUAAAACAUGUCACAUCACUAUUUUUAGUUUAAAAUUGGAUGAAAUGACCAAAACCAAAUAAGUUUUAAUUGAAGGGAUCAAUUUCAGGAGCGGGUAACAAAUCGGUCAUCAAAACUGUACUUUGAAGUCAAUUCCAAUAAUUUUUUUGAUUAUAUCUACCACUUCUUACACUACCCAAGCCUUUGAGGAGAAAAUGAAUUCAUUUAUUACAAUAUGACAGAGCAACAUAAAGAGUGGUUUGCUUAUAAAAAAAUAAAAAGAUAAAUAAAUAAUUUUUUUGAAGGAAAGAUAAAUAAAUAAAUAAAGACUGGUAAUUUAUUUUUAGCAUCAAAGGUAAAAUGUAUUGGUGAAAAAAUUAAAGAAAGAAAAGGGAUGAUAUUUUAUAUACACAAGAACAGCUGAUAAUUUGUUCUUGGGGUAUGAUUUUUUCAGCUAUUUGUGGUCUCUUUUUCGUAAUUGGUUAGAUAUCUCUUCAACUGAUCGGUCUUGUAUUUUAUAUCAUUUGUAUCAGUUUGCUUAUUUUGGAGGGCAUUCAAGAUCUCUUAGAAUUUCGUUUAAGUUGUUUUGGUUUUCUUGGGUAUGAGUGAUAUGGAAAGAAAGAAAUAUUAGAGUAUUUUACUCAGAAGGAAAAAAAUGUUCUAUCAGUUGUUAGACAAGUUUAAACUACUUUCUUUUUUAUAGUUGAAAGCACAUAAUUUUUUUGCUUUUGAUUAUCAUUAUGAUGAUUAAUCUUUUGUUUUGCAUUGGUUCCAACCUGUAAUGUUUCUUUCUUUUUGGCCUCUUGCUUGACAAACUGUUGAAUUGUUGUAUUCUUUUGGCGUGUUUCCAUGUCACUACCUGUGCUCCGUAAUUUGUUGAUUUUUUGUUAAUAUAUAUCAUUUUGGUUUGAUAAAAAAAAUUAUAUACACAAGAACAAUAUUAAUUUGCAAAUAUAUUUGCUAUCAUUGCCAAAAUAGAAUAAAAAUUAAGUUUGUUUGUGCAACAUAUUCACAUGAUUUAACUGACUUUGUCUUGAAGAAAGCAUGCAUGCGUCAUUAAUCAUGCGAUGAAUAUAACACUUGUGAGGGUCAGCUCAGGACAAAAGCUUCAAGUUUGCCCCCAUGCAUAUCUCUCUGCAAAAGUUGUGUGGUCCUAUUUCUUCUCGGUGGAGAGAGGUUUAUAAAAAAAGAUAGAUACCAUAACCUAAUUGGUCCCUACCCUAUUUUGCAUUCCUUUCUCCAAAUUGCAGCUACCAAACUCAAAGAUGAUUAAAUAGGAAAUAUAUGAUUCACAAAUGACUCAUUUGUUAAAAAAUAAUAAUUUAUCCCCACAAAAUGAAUGACCCUUUCAAUUUUGAUACUUUCAAUUUUGGCCCAAUAUCUUGACAAUGUGUUUAUACGUUGCAGCAAUCCUCACCUCACAAGUCGGUUUUAUGGGGUUGUGUUAGACCCAACUACGAUUUCUAAGAUUGUAUCAGAGCCUUUUCAAGAUCCAUUGGGUCACCUGCUAUCAGAUUUCCGUUAUCAGACCACCAACCAGUUAUGUCCACAAACCAACCUAAUAGUGUUGGUCGUGAGGAGUGUGUUAAGAGUCUCACAUCAGAUACAAGAUGGCCUGCUAAUAUGUUUAUAAGUGGGGACAAUCUUCACUUCACAAGCUGGUUUUGUAGGAUUGUGUUAGACCCGACCACAAUUUCUUAAAGUUUUUUUUUUUUUGAGAGAGAGAAUUAAUAUUACUUUGGAUAAAUACUCCUCUAUUCACAUACAUACUAAAUAUUUUAGUUAUAUAUGCUUAUCUAAAAUGGGUAUGGAUUUCUCAAACUAUAUCUUCUAAAUCCUCUCCAUGUGAUAUGAUACCUUUGCGUGUUUUUUAUUUUAUCUCUUUUUCAUCUUCUUUUACCUUUUCAUUUUACUUUUGAAUCAAAAAGAAUCAAAAACCAUAACAUUAACAUCAUGUGUGUCAACUUUGCAAGUUGAUUAUCUAUCUUUUGUCAUGUGAUUGAUCCUGCUUUCAAUAAGCCCUCCAUGGCUCUAAACUGCAGUUACUACACUUCAUUGUCAGCAUUUAUAUAAACUCAAACAUUCUCCUUGCAUUAAUUGUGAUUUAAGUUCUAACUUAGACUUUCUUAGUUAAUAAAUUAUAUCACAAAUUCUCAAAGGUAUGUAAGUAAAAUACAAGUGUUAAAGAGUCCUACAUCGGAUAAGAGAUGGUCUGAUAAUGUGUUUAAUUAUAAGUGGGGACAAUCCUUACCUUACAAACCAGUUUUUUGAAGUUGUGUAAGACCCAACCACAAUUUCUAAGAACAAGAAAUGCUAACGACUGUCCUAAAUGCACUCAACUUUUUAUGAGAUCUUAUACAAUUCAAUGCAUCAAAAAUUGAAGUAUUAAACUUUUACAGUAAAUAGUUUUUAAAUUAAAAAUUCUUAAAAAACGAUUUUAAGACACUUGUUAUCAAAACCCUCUAAUUAUAAUAGCAGUUGACAAAGGGUUUGAUCUAAACAACAAAAAGCACAGUAUUUUCUUUGAUGAUGUUUGGCUUGCUUCUUUUGAACACCAUGUGAUGCCCUCAGUUAUUAAACCUUUUGUAGAUGUCGAUAAAGUGUUGUACUCUAGCCGCUUUUCGAAGUGUCCAACAAUGGUCCCCUCUUGAGGACUAUUUACUGCAUGUGUUCACUUGAUUUUCACCCUAUGUAACUAAUGAGUACUAUGAGUAACAUUUUACACAUAACACCCAAACAUAUACAAGUGGACAAAGAUUGCUUACUCUUUCAAAUUAAAUAGGGCCAUCCAUAAGUUUUAAUUUGGACACUAGCUAGUUAUUGAAGAAAAACUAUCAAUUUUCUAUUAAAAAAUGAAUUUUGAACUUUUAAGAAAUUGAACUUUUCUAAUUAAAACAAAAUUUCAAAGACACUUGUUAGUAUUAUUCAAUAAAAUCAUUUUCAUGGGGUAUUGUGAAUUCGGUCUCAAAUUUCACACCAAUACAAACUAUGAAGUAUGAAGCAAGUAUCAAUGCCAACCAAUAACCAAAUAUAAAUAAACCACAAGCAAUAACAACAAUAUAGACCUAGUCUAUAAACCAAGUGCAUAGCAAAACCACAAUUCAACCAAAGGAUAAACAAGAUAAAGAGAGUAAAGAAAAUAUAACAACACCAAGAAAUGUUCACCCAGUUCGGUCCAACUUAACCUACUCUGAAGAAGAGAUUGAUCUCUCCAAUCCACUCUCAAUGAGUUCUUACAAAGAGAUACAAAUGGGUUACAAGAAAUUAGCUUCAAUAAGCUCACAAAGAACAACCCUAAUUUCUACUCAUUUUCCCAAUCUCACCAAUCAACAAGACACUCAUGAUUUUCACUCUCCCAAGGUGUUUACAAUUGUUUCCCAACUCUAGAAUCUAACCCAUAAAAGAGAACCAAUCCUUAGCCUUUGAUUUCACUAAGGAUCUUAUCUUUUGGUUUCACAAGACUCACCAAAGUUGCUCACAAAUGACUCUCCACUCAUGUGUUUCCCAACCCCAUGAAUCUUCCCCAAAAGGCACCAACCCUUUCCCAAGAGCUCCCUCUUUUGGUUCUCACAUCUUGAAGCUUUGAACCUCACCCAAAAACCCUCAACCUUUAGUAUCUAAAACCCUAAAAGUUCCAUCCUUUGGUUUCCAUGAGAUUAACCAAGCUUACCCAACAAAUGGGUCAUAGAGUGCUUAAAACGUGUUUCAGAUCUGUCAAAUUCGUGUCAUGUUUUCCCACAUCGUGUCACGAUUUGGCUUCUAGAGCACACCCAUUCACGGCCUUGAAAAUCGUGUCACGAUCCCAAAAUCGUGUCACGAUUCCAACACUUUCUCAAUUUUCAUUUUUGAGCCACAUCUCAACAAUUCUCCACCUUGACUCUAAAAUGAUGAUGAUGUUAAUUUAACCAUCAACCACCAUUCUCCUUAUCCUUGCCUUGAACAAUCCCUCAAGACAAAACCAAUCAAGUCCAAAGCCCCGCUUGAACCUUGAUCCACAAUCUGACCUCCACUUGCAUCCAACCACCCUCGGUAAUUCCACAAGCUUUCAAGUCCUAUUCCUUGCAUCCAACUACACUUUGUAGUUCCACAAGUUUUCACCUUUACCUCUUCAAACUUCGGAAUGCCUUCCGCCUUCUUGAAGUUCCUUGCAUCCAACUACACUAGGAUUUUUAGAUAGUUCCACAAGCCUACACCAUAACCUCUUCGGCCCCCCGUAGUGAUCAAACCCGUCCUCCCGAAGAUUCACUUGCCUCCAAUUACCAUUGGUCUUUUCCGGUAAUUCCACAAGUAAUGCCAUACAUUCUUCCAACCCCGAAAUGCCUUCUGUCUUCAUGAAGAAUUCACAUGCUCACAACUAGAACAUAAGCACCUAAGGCCUCAAUAGUCGUACCGCUUCGGUGUCUUCAACUUGUCUCCUCCUAGUCUCACUAGAGAAACACUCCACCUCAAGUUGAGAUUUCUGCACCUCAACUUCCAAACGCGUACACAUACUCUGCCUUUACCUUGCAACUCCACCUCAAAGGUUGAUCACGAGUAUUCUGCACACCGCCCCUCCAAGCUGAACUUGACAAUUGGGAACACACACAUCACCGACACCACCAUCAUGACCUCCUCUCUUCACACUUAACCUUCUUUGAUUGUGCUAGGUUGACUAACAUCACCGUCUCAACCUUCAAUGCUUCCAUACACUUCCAUUCAACCAUGCUUGUUUCCAUCUUCAAGAUGUAACAUUUAUUACCCAUGCUGCACACUUGACAAACUUCUCCCCUUGCCCAACGGUGGUGGCUAAUUGUUGUGAAUUCGGACUCAAAUUUCACACCAAUACAAACUAUGAUGUGUGGAGCAAGUAUCAAUGGCAACCAAUAACCAAAUGUAAAUAAACCACAAGCAAUAACAACAAUAUAGACCUAGUCUAUAAAUCAAGUGCAUAGCAAAAACACAAUUCAACUAAUGGAUAAACAAGAUCAAGAGAGUAAAGAAAAGAUAACAACACCAAGAAAUGUUCACCCAGUACGGUCCAACUUGACCUACUCUACAGGAGAGAUUGAUUUCUUCAAUCCACUAUCAAUGAGUUCUUAUAAAGAGAUACAAAUGGGUUACAAGAAAUUAGCUUCAAUAAACUCACAAAGAACAACCUUAAUUUCUACCCAUUUUCCAAAUCUCACCAAUCAACAAGGCACUCAUGAUUUUCACUCUCCCAAGGUGUUUACAAUUGUUUCCCAACUCUAGAAUCUAACCCAUAAAAGAGAACCAAUCGUUAGCCUUUGAUUUCACUAAGGAUCUUCUCUUUUGGUUUCACAAGACUCACCAAAGUUGCUCACAAAUGACUCUCCACUCAUGUGUUUCCCAACCCCAUGAAUCUUCCCCAAAAGGCACCAACCCUUUCCCAAGAGCUCCCUCUUUUGGUUCUCACAUCUUGAAGCUUUGAACCUCACCCAAAAACCCUCAACCUUUAGUAUCUAAAACCCUAAAAGUUCCAUCCUUUGGUUUCCAUGAGAUUAACCAAGCUUACCCAACAAAUGGGUCAUAGAGUGCUUAAAACGUGUUUCAGAUCUGUCAAAUUCGUGUCAUGUUUUCCCACAUCGUGUCACGAUUUGGCUUCUAGAGCACACCCAUUCACGGCCUUGAAAAUCGUGUCACGAUCCCAAAAUCGUGUCACGAUUCCAACACUUUCUCAAUUUUCAUUUUUGAGCCACAUCUCAACAAUUCUCCACCUUGACUCUAAAAUGAUGAUGAUGUUAAUUUAACCAUCAACCACCAUUCUCCUUAUCCUUGCCUUGAACAAUCCCUCAAGACAAAACCAAUCAAGUCCAAAGCCCCGCUUGAACCUUGAUCCACAAUCUGACCUCCACUUGCAUCCAACCACCCUCGGUAAUUCCACAAGCUUUCAAGUCCUAUUCCUUGCAUCCAACUACACUUUGUAGUUCCACAAGUUUUCACCUUUACCUCUUCAAACUUCGGAAUGCCUUCCGCCUUCUUGAAGUUCCUUGCAUCCAACUACACUAGGAUUUUUAGAUAGUUCCACAAGCCUACACCAUAACCUCUUCGGCCCCCCGUAGUGAUCAAACCCGUCCUCCCGAAGAUUCACUUGCCUCCAAUUACCAUUGGUCUUUUCCGGUAAUUCCACAAGUAAUGCCAUACAUUCUUCCAACCCCGAAAUGCCUUCUGUCUUCAUGAAGAAUUCACAUGCUCACAACUAGAACAUAAGCACCUAAGGCCUCAAUAGUCGUACCGCUUCGGUGUCUUCAACUUGUCUCCUCCUAGUCUCACUAGAGAAACACUCCACCUCAAGUUGAGAUUUCUGCACCUCAACUUCCAAACGCGUACACAUACUCUGCCUUUACCUUGCAACUCCACCUCAAAGGUUGAUCACGAGUAUUCUGCACACCGCCCCUCCAAGCUGAACUUGACAAUUGGGAACACACACAUCACCGACACCACCAUCAUGACCUCCUCUCUUCACACUUAACCUUCUUUGAUUGUGCUAGGUUGACUAACAUCACCGUCUCAACCUUCAAUGCUUCCAUACACUUCCAUUCAACCAUGCUUGUUUCCAUCUUCAAGAUGUAACAUUUAUUACCCAUGCUGCACACUUGACAAACUUCUCCCCUUGCCCAACGGUGGUGGCUAAUUGUUGUGAAUUCGGACUCAAAUUUCACACCAAUACAAACUAUGAUGUGUGGAGCAAGUAUCAAUGGCAACCAAUAACCAAAUGUAAAUAAACCACAAGCAAUAACAACAAUAUAGACCUAGUCUAUAAAUCAAGUGCAUAGCAAAAACACAAUUCAACUAAUGGAUAAACAAGAUCAAGAGAGUAAAGAAAAGAUAACAACACCAAGAAAUGUUCACCCAGUACGGUCCAACUUGACCUACUCUACAGGAGAGAUUGAUUUCUUCAAUCCACUAUCAAUGAGUUCUUAUAAAGAGAUACAAAUGGGUUACAAGAAAUUAGCUUCAAUAAACUCACAAAGAACAACCUUAAUUUCUACCCAUUUUCCAAAUCUCACCAAUCAACAAGGCACUCAUGAUUUUCACUCUCCCAAGGUGUUUACAAUUGUUUCCCAACUCUAGAAUAUAACCCCCAAAAGAGAACUAACCCUUAGCCUUUGAUUUCACUAAGGAUCUUCUCUUUUGGUUUCACAAGACUCACCCAAGUUGCUCACAAAUGACUCUCCACUCAUGUGUUUCCAAACCCCAUGAAUCUUCCCCAAAAGGCACCAACCCUUUCCCAAGAGCCCCCUCUUUUGGUUCUCUAAGAUUCACAUCUUGAAGCUUUGAACCUCACCCAAAGACCCUCAACCUUUAGAAUCUAAAACCCUAAAAGUUCCCUCCUUUGGUUUCCAUGAGAUUCACCAAGCUUACCCAUUAAAUGGGUCAUGGAGUGCUUAAAACGUGUUUCAGAUCUGUCAAAAUCGUGUCACGUUUUUCCAAAUCGUGUCACGAUUUGGCUUCUAGAGCACACCCAUUCACGGCCUUGAAAAUCGUGCCUCGAUCCCAAAAUCGCAUCACGAUUCCAACACUUUCUCAAUAUUCAUUUUUGAGUCACAUCUCAACAAGGUGGUUUGGCAUGUCGGAAAGCGAAAGAGACUCAUUCAUGUCACAUUUUCAUCCUUUCGCUUUCGCUUCCUUCAUGUGCAAUAAUUUACACUAGAUUUCAAACCUCAAGUAACACAAUUUAUAUAUCUUGCAUACAUAGUUUAACUAUCUUGUAAUCCACGUAAUUUAAGGAAUGAUGUUUGUAAUCUAGUGUAAUUUAUUGCACAUGAAGGAAGUGAAAGCGAAAAGGACUCGUUCAUGUCACAUUUUCAUACUCCCUCCGUCCUAAAUUGUAUGACGUUUUGGGCAUUUCACACAUAUUAAGAAAUGUAAUUAAUAUUGUGUGGGAAAGAGAUAUUAUGAGUUGUUUUACUAAAUUGUCCUCUAUAAAUGAUAUGGGAAAGAUAAAUGAAGGAAUUGAAAGAAGAGAGAGUAAUAAAUAGUUAAGGAUAUAAUAGGAAAAAUAACAUUAAUUUUUCAUUAGUAUUGUAAAACGACAUACAAUUUGGGACAAAUAUUUUUUCUAAAGUGACAUACAAUUUGGGACGGAGGGAGUAGUUUAAGUAUCUUGUAAACCACAUAAUUUAAGUAUCUUGUACACAAUUAUCUAAUUGAAAAAUCAUUUCUUUUUCAAUGGUUUUGGAUACCGUUGUAAAUAUAACUCAAAAUAUUGCAUCUAUAUUGUUAUAAUUAAUUUUUUGGCUAAAGUGCAUUUUUCCAAUUGUAUAUUGCAUCCAUAAUAGAUCACAUCCCAUGCCUAAAACCAUAUUUAAUUUCCAAUUAUUUGAGUCUCUCUUUUUAGUCUCUUCUCAAUCACUAUUUCCAAUACCUUCAUAGUAUGGUUCAUACGUUUAAUCCCUUUAUAACAUGCGUAAUUUUUUUAUAUCUCUUUCGUUCUUAUAAAUCGAAGUUAAUGUGUUUCUUCUCAACUAGUCCAACAAUUUCUUUGACCUCAUGAUCUCGUUAAAAAUCUUCGCGAUCCAACAAAUGCUUGUAUCUCUUGGAAUUUCAACAUACCUAGAUAUCAUGUUUUUUGACUCAACUUCCUUAUCAUUAUUCAUCCUAUAGAAGGUAUAAUCCAAAUAUCUUCUCAUCUUAUUUCAGCUUGUUUUCUUCUGACCAAGUGCAUAAACAAACAAAUAAAUUCAAAGGCAAAGAUAAUGUAGCAGAUCAUUCCAUAUGAAGCAAAUGAUUUUUCAAAUACUAUUCAACGACAUUAUCCAAUUGAUGCAAAGUUUUCAAAUUAAAUCUGAUCAAGAUUCUCAAGAACGAAUUUGACGAGUUGAUUAUAUUCAAACAACAACUCUAUUAGAAUAUAAAACUUCGAACAAUUUACAAGACCCCAACCUCUGUCAAAUUCAAAAGCCUUCAAACACUUAAAAUAUUCUUACCAACUUAGCAUCUUUGAAUUAUCUUAAGUUUCAAAAGUUCAUUGUUCUAAAAGUUAGUUUACCACUCUUAGAGUUUUGAAAGUUUAAACAAUUACAAAUCAUUUGCAAAACUCUAAUUGUAUAAGUCCUCUUGUGUGAGGCAAGGAAGACUUUGACUUGUGUGUUGGAGAAAUUGCAAUCUUGUGUGAUUAUAGUGGAAAAAUCUCUUGGAAGUUCAAGGAGACUGGAUGCAACCUCGGAUUGUGGGGUGAACAAGGAUAACCUGUUGUUUGUCUCCCUGUCUCACUACUAAAAAAACAAAAAUUAGUGAGGGAAAAUAUGAAAUCCCUCUCUAAUUCCUUCACUAAAUUUUGCGACCAAAGAAUUUGUGAGAAAUUUUAUGUUUUCCGUCACAAAUUUCCCUCCCUAAUUUUGCUUUUCCUAGUAGUGUUUCUGACUCUGAUCGUCCUCUACAUAUCUUUCUGCUAUGUUUUGUUAAAAACCGUUAGAAGAUUUUUAGAAAAAAGCAACACAGUUCAACCCCCUCUUGUGUUUUUCUCACAUUUGACACUUCAAAACCCCCGCCACUUAUCACUUAAGGUGGAAAUAUGAGACUCAUUUAAAAUGUAUAAUCGAUGGAUGGGAUGUCUAAAUAUGAUCACCAUGCAUAAUUUAAAAUUGAAUCACAUUAUGUUCAACCGGCCAAAUUUUCAGAAUAUAUAUCAGCUAUUUUAUAUAUAUAUAAUGAUAAUUAUGAAUGAAAUGAUUGCUCAUUAUGCCUGAUCAUAAAAUGAUAAGAUGUAGACUACCAUAUUCAUUUGACCAAUAGGGAGCUGUGCCAUUUGGCCACUUAUGGACCAUUGCUUUAUCUUUCAGUGCGGCAUGGUUUGAUUCAAUUCCCGUAUCUUCCUUUUCCAACCUUGAAGGCUCAACUCAAAUUCUUCACCAAGAUUUUUUCAUAGCUAUCAAAUCCAAACCAAGCUUGAAAAACUUCAAGUUUUGCUCUACGUUUGAUCCAAAAGCACCAUACAAACCAUCCUUCAUCAAUUAUAAGGUGUGCAUAUGGUAUCAUAUAUCUCUUCAUAUAAGUUAGCUAGAUGCAUAUGUAUUAUCUUUUCUACUAUAACUAGGGUUUUUGGUUAUAAUUUCAAUUUGAAAUUAAAAUGUUUUGGGUGCCUAGAUUUGUUCAACUGUUUGCUAGUUUGUGUUUUGUAGUUACACAAUUAUUACCGUUAUCCCUUAUUUUAAUUUGAUUUUGGUUUUCUCAAUUAUCUUAUGGUAUAUAGCUAGGCAUGUUUAUAGUUAAUUUGCUACAAAAAUAUAUUUAUCAUAUGGCAUAUACCUUGGCAUGUUUCAAUGGCUUAUGCUAUUUAUAUUAGAUUUCUUUUUGAGAAGACUUAGUGCAUUAUAUAUCAACUAGUUUUAUUUUAUUAAUUAUUGAUAAUAUUAGCAAUAUACAUCAUUUGUUUUUUAUAAUUAAUAAUCAUAUUUAACUUUAUAUUGGAUGCAGAUAUAUACUACUUACAAGAGAGUGAACAAUCAAAAAGUGGAGGGACAAAAUUCUCCAUUUAGCAACCAACAAUGAAGGACAUUACAAGAUGAAUAAGAAUUCAAAAGAAGAUUUUCCAUUGAAACAAGAGGUUCAUCAAAAUUCAAACGAUCAUGAAAAAGAAAAGGCGAAUUCACCGUCAUCAAGCUCCUUAGCUUCAUCACAAUGGCCAAGAUUGAAAGAUCCAAGAAUUGUAAGAGUAUCAAGAGCUUUUGGUGGAAAGGAUAGACAUAGCAAAGUAUGCACAAUAAGAGGAUUGAGAGAUAGAAGAGUAAGGCUUUCAGUACCAACAGCUAUUCAACUUUAUGAUCUUCAAGAUAGGUUAGGGCUUAAUCAACCUAGCAAAGUUGUUGAUUGGUUGCUCAAUGCAGCUAAACAAGAUAUUGAUCAACUUCCACCAUUACCUAAUUUUUCACCUGUAGGAACAAAUUUCAACUUUGGUUUUCCAUCUUCUAAUGAACUCAACAAUCAACAAUUGUUCAAUUUCAAUAGGAACAAUAUUCAUUGGGAAGGUUCAACUUCAAGUCAAAAUUCUACUUGGAAAUCAAACCCUAAAGAAGUAUCAAGGGAAUUGGUUAAUGAUAAACCAAAUUACUUGAUGAAUAGUACUCAAGAAGAGGAAAAUAUUAACAAGCAAGGAAGCAAUAUUGAAGUUCCUACUGCAACUGUUUUUCCAAAUAAUAACAAUAUGUUACAAAGACCAAAUCACCCUUCAUUUCUUGGUUUAUUAAACAAUAUGCCACUUGGUACGAAUUACCAAUGGGGAGGUACUUCCAAUGAUGCUGAAAAUUCUUCUCAAUUGGGAAACAAUGGCUUUAUUACAUCUUUGCCACCAAUGUUGUCUUUAUCAACUGGAAAUUCUUCUCAAAUGAUGUUAGGAACAACACAAUCAUAUUUUUCUUCAAAUGUUAAUGCAAUGGAGAUGGAUCAUCAUCAUCAAAGAGAAAUCCACAACCAUCAUUAUCAUCAAAUGUUGAGUUCAUCAAAUUCUUCUCAGAAUCCAAUGACUAAUUCUCUCAACAAUCCAUCCUUCAGUUUGGCCAAAUUUCUACAAAACAGCAGAGAAAAUUCAUCCAAUAAAGAACAAGAGUUCACUACAAAGUGAUAUUACAUAAAGAAACAAAUACAAUGUUUAUGUGAGUUCUCCUCUUCUCAAAAUUUGAAUGGUACAUGAAGAUUGUUGUGAGACUAUAUAUUGUGAUUUGAAUAAUCAUUACAUAUUAGUUGUUUUGUGAGUGCAUGUUUGGAGUUUCUAUAUAGUUUCUUUCAAUUUUAGGUCACCCUUUAGUUUGAAUCUAUGGCUUUCUAAGGGUGUGGGUGAUUUAGCAACUCUUUUUUGAUUUAAUAAUUUAUUGUUUGACUCAGAUAAUACACGUGCAAAUUGGUUUACUCUCUAAUCUACAAUGAGAAUGUUGUUCAAGAUGAUCAUGUGUGGUGGAUAUUAAUUUUCUAUACCUAUACCUAUACCUAUAUAUAUAAAGGGGAAUCAUACCCUUCUUUAAACUAUUCUAAUUACAAUAUUAUCUUUUGUACAAUAUUUUUUAAAUAUUUAACUAAAAAAUCAAUUAAAAUCUCAUUAUUCCACCAAAAUAGUAACAACAUAAGUUAAAUUUUUAUUUGACUAUGAUAUAUUCCAAAAAAAUUAUACCAAAUUGUGUUUGAACACUAAUGUAGCUAUAAUAAUCUUGUUCAUAUAUCUUGAUGGUACAAGAGAAUCAAGAGAUAAUGAUCUUGUUGAUAUAUCUUGAUGGUACACGAGAAUCAAGAGAUAGAUUGUCUUCUUUGUGUUUGUUUGGUUCGGCGUUUCCGCAGUCCAAACGCACGUUUCACUCUUCAAAUUGGGUCAAAAUAACGACUUUAAGGAUUAAUAGGUCUUUACCCCCUUGUAAUAUAGGUCAUUUCCGAUUUUUUCCCCUGUAAAAUUUUUAUUUUGAUUUACCCCCCUAUAAAAAAAAAUUGUUUUGAUUUAACCCCUAAUAGGCGAAACAAAAACAAAAAUUUCUUGAAAAAUAAAAUAAAAUUGGUUUUUGUUUGGCCUAUUAGGUGGGUAAAUCAAAACAAAAAUAUUUUCCAAGGGGUUGAAUCAAAAUAAAAAUUUUACAGGAAAAAAACCUGUAUUAGAGGUUGGGUAAAGACCUAUUAACCCUGACUUUAAUUAAGUCUUUAACUCAUUAGGUCCUUUCAGAAGAAAAAAAAAACAUUCAUCAAUUAAUUAUUAUUUUAUAAUAAUUGAUCAUUAACGAGUUUUAGAAUAUAUUUCAAAUUGAUUAUAAAAAAGAGUAAAUUAUAUUUACCUUCCUUUAGAAAUGCUUAAAUUACGCUACCCUCCCCUCUUAUGCUAAAAUAUACACAUCCCUCUCCUCUUAAGCAAAACAUAUUAGAAAAAAAUUACACUCUCUUUCCCUAAGAGAAGCUUAAAUUACAUUCUCAUCCCCUCUAAUGUUAAAAUCUACACUUCACUCCCUUAAUAUUUUCUAUUUUAUUUUAAAGCACACAUGACAAUGAAAAAGAGUAUAACAAUGAAAAUUUAGAGCAUACAUGACGGUGAAAAAGAGUGCGGAUUUACUUUAUUAUAAUCAAAAUUUGAAUCAUAUUUUUCUUUACGUGAUAUACAAUAUUAUUAACAUAUAAUAUAAAAAAUAUUAUAAUAUAUGAUACAAUAUAAAAUAAAAUAAUUUUUUUUAAAUUACCAAAACCAAUGAAAUAUGGGUAGUAGAAAAUGAAUUUUAUAUUCUAAAACAUUAAGUUAAUAAUAAAAUAGUUAAACUGUUUUUAUCAUUGAUAUUGAAAUUAAAAUGAAAUUAAUUACUUUUUCUUGAAUUAUGGAUCACAAUUUAUAGAUAUCACAAAAAUAUUAAUUUAUGUGAAUAAUAGAUUGAAAUAUAGUACGUAUAAUUCUUAUAGGGGAAAUGAUUUUAGUCCAAACAUCUCUUAGGGGAGGGAUAUAAUUUAUUUUAGGUUUUUACUUUUAAGGGAGGGGAGUGUAAUUUACACUAAAAAAUUACCAUAAUUCCUUAAAAAAAAAUUGACCACAAUUUUUUUUAAGGGACCAUAAUUAUAACUGAUUAUGUCAAAUUGAUUAAUUAAAACAUUUUGGGGUAAUUGGGUUAUUUUGUCCAAAUGAAAGUUGCAUAGCUAACUUAGACGAUCAUAUUUUUAGGUUGGUCUAAGUUAGCAAACCUAUAAUAUUACAUGACUGAAAAACACAAAUUUAUCAACAUAAUUUCAUUAUAGUCCCUACAAAUACUAAUUAGAGAACAAAUUUGUAUAAAAUUUUGUAAUGUAAGCACGGGCGGAUUCAAUGUGAAACAUGGUGUGGCAAGAUUAUUUCUUUUUUUUUCUUCAUAUAUUUGACUUAAAUAAUUAUAUAUAAUAAUAUAAGUCGCUCACAUAUAAUAGGUUUCUCUCUUGGCUUAAUGGUUUAUGCUUGAUGGAUGAUUCGUAUGACCUGUGUUCAACUCUUGACCUAAUGUUAAAAUGCUCUCACCCAAACUGUUUAAAGUGUCAAUAGUCUACUUUGGACCUGUGUUCAACUCUUGACCUAAUGUUAAAAUGCUCUCACCCAAACUGUUUAAAGUGUCAAUAGUCUACUUUGGACCUGUGUUCAACUCUUGACCUAAUGUUAAAAUGCUCUCACCCAAACUGUUUAAAGUGUCAAUAGUCUACUUUGGACCUGUGUUCAACUCUUGACCUAAUGUUAAAAUGCUCUCACCCAAACUGUUUAAAGUGUCAAUAGUCUACUUUGUUAAUAUAUAUAGUUGCUUUGCAAGUUUUGUCACACCAAUAUCAAAUGUCUAGAUCCACCCCUAUGUAAGAGGUUAUUUUUAAUAAUGUUAGAGUAAGAAAUUAGACUGAUACAAUCCUAUAAUUACAUGACUAAUUAAAACUAAGUAUUAUUUAUUUUUACUAAGUAAUAUAUGAUAAUUUCUUGAUAUUUUUCAAGCUUUGUUGGAAGAUAGAUUCUUACUCAUGCAUGCGCGUUUGGCAGCACAUGAAUAACCAUGGAUUAUUAGUCUUUAUUAAAAACAGUACAUGUCACUGUUUUCUGGCAGUCACUAAAAAAAGCUUACACAUGAAAACAACCAAACAAAAUUCUGUCUAAAGCAACGAAAUUCAAAAGAUAGGAUCGUUUAGUGUAAGGGAACAACUUUGACAUAUUAAUCACAUUAUGGAAUGAUAGUACUAUACGUACUUUUAAAGAAAACUGAACAAAGAAACAAAAGUUUCAGAGUACUUACAUCUUCUCUAUAAUUUGUCUCUGAAUAAAGCUAAUUAUGCUGUGUGUGUACAUGUCUUUUUGAAAAACUGUUAACAUGGAAAUUCAAACAGUAAAUUGAGGAGAAAACAGAAUGCAAGAAAUGUUGUGUUAUGUUAAUUUGAAAUUUAAUGUUUGGUGAAUCAUAAAGACGUAUAUAGCUUGCAGAAAAUUUACCUUAACAUUCAACAAACAUUUUCUAAGAAAUUCCAGAAUUGGUUAUAUCAUCAUAACAGAAAUAAGGUGUUUCAGUUAGGUUAUAUAUAUAUAUAUAUAUAUAUAUAUAUAUAUAUAUAUAUAUAUAUAGAGAGAGAGAGAGAGAGACCUUAACAUGUCUUCAGAUAAUUGUUCAUUUAGUUGUGCAGUGUCACAUUUUAUCAUAAAGUAAAAUAUCAACUACAUAUAUUGAUCUUCUUCAUAGUUCUUAACUGAAUAACAUAUUCACCUUUCAGGGUUAAUAUUGAAAGUCCGAAGAAAAAAAAACACAUCAAGAUUAUUUAUAAUAUUUUUUGUGAGUUGCUCUUUUUUCUUAUAAGAAAUGGAUUAUUUAUAAUAUUUUUCUAGGAGUUGCUAUUUUUCUUUUGGAAAAUAUUUGAUGGACACUUUAUUAGGUGUAUACACUUCAGAAGAGAAAGAGAUAAGAGAGAGAUGUGAUGUGAUAAGUUUGAUCAGAAAAACUAAUGAAUUAAUCAGAAAAUCUUGUCCCUCGAAUAUCUACAUCAAGAAUAAGCUACAAUUGAGAGAGAUGACGAAUCAACUCCUUCACCCUCCAUGCCAUUAGUACCCGCGAUGAGGUGUGGUUCUGAGCAUGGGCAAGAAGGGCAGCUGCCCAAGACCCCAAAAGUCUUAGGAUCGGACCUGCUCGCCAUUAGGCGAAGCCACGCAUCACCCUAAAACCUCAGCUAAAACCGAUGUGGCCCGACCAAGAUUAUAAGUAAAACAUCAAAUUAAACAGCCAUUGGAUCUUGAAUAAAACCUCUCCCACUACAGUGAGAUCCUUCGGUAUUGAUCUUUAAAGAGUUUGUAGGGGGUAUCACUGCCAUUGUUUCCUGUCUUCCAUAUAUAUAAUGAUGAAUGAAAGAUAAUUGUGAGUAGAUGCCAAAAAUUUAUCAAGAUCGGUUGCUAGUCUAACAAAAAUUGUGAUAACAUACAAAGGUUAAUUCCACUGGUUGGAACCAAUAUUGAAGAAAACCAAUACUAAAAAAGGUGCUCAAUGGUUGUCUCCAUAUUUAUAAACUUCUCCAAGAUAUUAUUAAUCAUUUCAGAAUCCCUCAAGCAAUGCAUAAUUGUCUUAGGAGCUUCCUUGCAACGAAUGAAUUCUUCCACAUCUGAUAAACACUUAUUCUUCUUCUCACUGUUUCGUUUUGAUAGUAAUUUGAAAAGUGUACCAAAUCGUAACUACUAGUAAUAGUGAUAAAGAAAUUUCGUCUCCAUAUAAAUUCUCUUUAAUGUAUUCGCACAAUAAAAAUGAUUGUGGUUAUAGGUUGAAUGAUUAAAAUAAGAUUGACUGAUAAAGUAAUUAGAGUGAAUUAAAAAUGUUUACUAAUGAUUAAUAAAAAGACAACUAGGACUCUAAUCCCCUUAUCUAUACUAUACUAUGAUGUCAGAUUCUCAAAUGCACAAUUGCAUUUAUUCAUCAUCACAUUCAAAUCAAUAUAAAAAGUUUACGACUAUUCAUUGACUAAAAACCUCUUUUACCUAAUAACAACUCCUAAGUCAUUAGGUUUUUAAUUUAUUAGCUAAAACAAUAGGAUCAGAUGAACACAUAGUCGUAUUUCAACAUUCAGAGGUGCUAUUUCAAAAAAAAUUAUUUCAUUGAGCAUGAGUAGCUAAAAUCCGUAGACUAGGAUUAGAUCAUCAUUUUAUUUUUAUUGUGCAAUUCAUGAAAAAUUUGUAUGAAUCCCUAACUAUUUAUCUCUAUUCUUAAUGUUUUCAUUAAUAUAAUUAUUAUUGAUAUGAUUUUUGGAACUGCUUCAUCAUUGCAAGAAGAAUAGUAAUAACCAUUGAAUCUUCAAUCUCUUGUUCACAAGGAUGAUUUGUCAAUUUUAAUGCCUUCAUAGAGAUUAUUCCAUUUCCAUCGGUUAAAAGUGUCUAUGUAUAUACCUAGGUUUCCUUAAAGAAAAAAAAUCCUUUAAUUAUGAUCUAUCUUGGUGAAGAUCACGGAUGUAGAACAGUGGUUCAUGGUACUCCGAUGUGACGGAGGCUGAGUCUUCACGGUGGAGAAAAAAGGUGUCUGCAAACAUAUUAGCACUUCAAUGCGUAUUUGAGAGAGGUGGUUAUAUGCAAAAGUAGUGAAAAGUGAAGUGUACCUUUAUGGGGAUGCUGAGUCACCCUUGUAUAGGCGAUGUGGACGCUAACCGUCUCCAUGAUAUGCGGCGUGAUCCAAGGGAGUGGUUAGAGAUGAUGUUGCUAGUGGACAUAACGCAAGGCAUGCUCCUGUGUGGUAAUCUGCACAAGACUUCGAGUGUUUGUCUCCAUUCAUGUCCUUGUGUACCCUUGGGCCUCGGCUAAUUAGGUAAUUUAUUAUUGGGCUCUUUCCGGUCCGGAACAAAAUAAAUGUUGUUGUUUGUAGAGUUUGUUACAUUGUCCGACGAUGACAAACAAACACGGAAAAAUCUUAGAGUUGUUUCGUCUGGACAGACGAUUUCGUCUCCAAGCAAGUUAACACAAGAUUGAUAUAUGGUUCUGAAAUAAACUCUUUCGUCAAGCAAAACCAGACCCUCGCCAAGUUGCGACUAUCAAAAAAUGUUUCUUUAAAGCAUUAGUUAAUCCUUAGAUUGAGAUACUUUUGUUAAAAACAUUUUCAAAGUAAUUAAUAAGAAAGCUAUAAAUUGAGAAAUGAAGUUGAAAUCUGGGCAUUAGUUAAUGAGAAGGAUUAACUAAUGAAGUCUUUAAAGCAUUAGUUAAUCCUUGAUUUGUUUUUGGCCAUCUAAGCUGAAAUCUGAGCAAUGAAGUUUGAGUGUAUCAUAUAAUGAUCCAAUUUUUGGCUAAAUCACAACCCAGGUCGCUUUACUCGUCUAUGUUAUGUUGGAACUUGGUUUGAGGAUUACCCAGUUUGCUUGUAAAUUUCCCUUGGCACAUAUGCAAUCAUGCUUGCACCUUGUUCGUGGUUUAUUUUUCCAAAUUCUUCCUCGAGUUCCUCUAAGCCUAAAACUUUCUCAACAAAAUCAGCUGGUAAUAAAUAAAUCAUAGCCAAUUCACAAACUUCAUGUAGAUCAUCAGCAAAACUUGAUUUGAAAUUGUCAAUAAUUUCUUCAUAAUAAUUUCUUCACAAGUCACAUUCCAUAUACCAAAUGAAAACAAACAAGGAAAACAAGGACACUACAUAUAAACCACAUUGUCAUAAGAAAUCAAGUACAUAUAAAUCACACUGUCAUAAGCAAAUCAACAAAAAAAGUAGAUAUAACUUAAACCAUAAACUAACAUAACAUCAACAAACAUUAAAUCAACAUAGUCAUUCUACCUUUGACAACGUCAAAAAGGGAAAGACAUUGUACGAAAAUUGUUGCAAAGCAAAUGCCACAUGCAUAAUUGUUAAAAGAAAAUAAAAAGGGCAUAACGAAAAUCAGAAAUCAUUGAGCAUCAUUGCCAUCCUGGUUUGAAGUGUCGGCUUGGUUUUGGUCAGGGAAAGGUGAGUUGAAAUAGUGAGUGGGUGAUACUCCAAUGGUUGUGGUUGUCUCCAAUCUCUGAACUGAAGUUCUCAUUUCCUGAAAGUGAUUAUCCUGGACAUCAAACCUGCGAUUAAGCUCCCUGAACUGGACAUCCUGAGCAUCAAAUCUCUCAGUCAUAAACACUUACAUAUUUCUCAUUCCCUCUAUCACAUCAUUCAUGUUGUCCUAUGAAGCAUAAUAAGGAUCAUAAUCCUGAUCACUUUCAUCCUCAUCAAACUCAAUGAUAGAUGUUUAGAAAGUGUACUAAAAACUAUCCAAGUAUCUUUUCUCUUCCCUCUACUUUUUGAUUUUGCAUUAAUUGAUGUAUAUGAAUUUGAAUGAUUUCUACUAGUUGAUCCGAUCUUAAUCCAUUGAUUUAAGAUCCUUUUGAAUUCACAUUGAUUACAAUUGAACUUCAAUUAAGUUUCUAAUCAUUAGUUCAUAUAUCUUGUGCUUCUUAAAGGUAUUUUGCUUUUAUUCCAAUUAGGUUUGGUUUGACCUUGUCUAGUUGUGUAUAUUGCGAUUGUUGAAUAUUGAUAAUUGAUUGUGUAUAUUAAGAUUCUACUUUUGGACUUCUCAAUUCAUUUUAAAUCUUAGUGUUAAUCAUUGUCUUUACAAUUUUUGUUAUCAAUUAUUGUGCACAAAUCCAAGAUCAUACGUUUUUCUAUACCACGCUUUCACUAAACUUGUAAAAUUUUAUAAAACGUUAUUCACCCCACCCCCCUUUAGAGCAUACUCUUGUUUUCCAUGUAGACCAACAAUAGGCUACUUGGAUGACACCAAUAAAUCAUUAGCUUCAUGGGUAACCUUCUUGUGCUAACACAACCCUUUAAUCAUGCAGAGUUUACAAUUUUUGGUGUAUUUCUAUUUACACCAUUGUUUUAGGCGGGCACCCCCUACACCCAAUAAAAUUUGGCCAAGCCCAAUCUCCCUCAUUAACCCGUGACUUGUCCCAUCGCACCCUCAUUUAUAUCAUUUUGAAACCCUAAGAAAGAAAACGAUAUUCAUUUUCUCUCUCAAUCGGCGCCGCAACUUACCUCCUACCGACAUCGUUGAGAUCGGCCUUGUUUGGCAAAAAAAAAACUUGUUUUCUUCAUCUCAUCAGUUGUCUAUACCUUUCUAUCCAAACAAAAACACUAAAGGAGUAGAUCGAAAAAUAGGCAGACCCUUUUUUGUGAAGUUUAUCAUGAAACUUUGACCUUGUUUCAUCAAUCAAGAAUUGUACCUUUCAUUCUCAUCUACAAGAAAUACAGGUAAAGUUUGCACCAAACUGAGCGAAAAUGGAAAUCCAAAUUGUUUUCCCUUUUCUUUUUGUAAAUGGUUCUACAUAUCUUUCUUUUUUGUUUCUUUAUUCCCUUUUUUUUUAUCUUUGUUCUUCAUUACUCUUCAUUUGUGAUGAAUUUGUAGAUCUUAUUUUAGUUUUUCUCCCAAUUUUCGAUUGCAAUAUUUUCCCUCUUCUCAUUUAAUGUUAUUGAUCUUAUUUUUUUUAUCAAAUACUUAAAUACAGAAAUGAUGGGAAGGUGGGAUGCUCAUCAAUUUUAUACAUAUGAUGGUUUCAUUGUUGCUGCUAGAUCUAUUAAUGGAGUUAGUACAACGGGUGAUAGUACUACAAGAAAGGGGAAACUUGAUGCUUUGUUGGCUCAAACUUCUCAUGAAACACAAGUAUUUUCCUUAUUCUAAUUAUUUGAUUAAUGUGCACAUACCAUGUUUCUCAUGUUUCUCAUUAGUUUACUGAGUUUGUACAUGACUGUUACAUUUUUUUACCAAUAUUAAUUUCCUAUACCCACAACUUUCGGGAAAAAGAAAAAAAAACUUUUGGAAAAGAGAAUGCCAUAAAAUAUACUACUAUUAAGGAGCGGUACCCUUUCAAUGUCAUGAAUUUCGUCAGUAUCAAUGUAUCAUAGGAAAAAAGGAGGGAGGAAGCUCAAAAGAACAUGAGAUCGGUCCAAUCCUAAUGUUUUUAGUCUUUCUUCCUCUCUUCUUUUCCUCCGCAUGUAUAAGUUAUACCAUCACAUAUUAUAAUAUGAGGGAAAAUAUAAGAAAUACUCUUACUAAAGUUUCUCCUUAAUAUAGUUGAAUAGAUCCAGUGAAUUGGUUAAACGCAAUAAACCAAUAAAAUCCAAAAAUUAAAACCACGAGAGAAAUUCUAGAUUUUGAGCGUCAAUUGGUUAGACACAACAUUUUAAAAUCCACACACCCAAAAAUCAAGACCGGAUGAGAAAUUAUAGAUUUUAAGCUUAGUAAUUUACUUUGUUUGCACCACCCUCCUCAAAUACAACAUCAGAGAAUAGGUCAGGAUCUUUACCGACAUCGAAUGAUUUUAAUUCAUUGACGUAUAUCUGGUAUCAGAGAAAAAUGAAAUGUUAAUUGGUUGAUACUCUCUUGAAAAUAAAAUAUAACAAAAAAUAGAUUAAAAAUAUCAAAUGUGCUUGCUUCGAAUUGCAGAUCAAAUACAUUUGACUCUUAUAUAUAUAUAUAUAUAUAUAUAUAUAUAUAUAUAUAUAUAUAUAUAUAUAUCAUUUACGAGGCAGUAGUAUCUUAGUUAUAACAACUAUGCUGGAAUAAAUGAGAUCUACAAUUAGAGUGAUAUCUACAAUUAGAGUGAUCACUUACAUCAUAUUCCUUCUUGGGGUAAUCGUCAAUUAUCUCAUAAAGCAGUCUAAUAACUAACGGGAACCACCACCCAUGUUUGUUUAUCCACAUUUAAGGUAGCCCAUGUCCACUCGAUGAUCUGUUUAUAAUCCAUAGAUAGUACACUUAUAAGGUACAAGGAACAAGUAUGAAUAAAGAACCUCUAAAAAAAAAGAGGGUAUUAAUGAAGAAUAUUACUUAUGCAUAUGCCUCAGAUGUAUUGUUGUAUAUAUAGUUGAAAAACUAAUAGCUAGGUAUAAGAUGUAUUUUACCUAGCUAUUAGUUUUUCCGCUAUAUAUACAACCAGACAUUUGAGACUUAUGCACAAAUAGUAUUCUUCAUUCAUAACCUCUUUUUUAGAGGUUCUUCAUCCAUACGUGUUCCUUGUACCUUAUUAGUGUGCUAUCUAUGGAUUAUAAUCAGAUCAUUAAGUGGCUAGGGGCUACCUUAAAUGUGGAUAAACAAGCAAGGGUGAUGGUUCCCGUUAGUUAUAAGACUCUCUGUGAGCUAAUUCAGGAUUACCUCAAGAAAGAAUAUGAUGUAAGUGAUCACUCUAAUUGUAGAUCUCAUUUUUCAUCAUAGUUUAUAUAACUGAGAUACUACUCCAUCUUAAAUGAAAUAUAUAUAUAUAUAUAUAUAUAUAUAUAUAUAUAUAUAUAUAUAUAUAUAUAUAAAGAUUAUAAGAGUUAAAUGUAUUUGAUCUCAAAUUCGAAGAAAACACAUUUGAUUUUUUUAAUCAAUUUUUUCUUAUAUUUUAUUCUCAAGAGAGUAUGAACAAUUAACAUUUCAUUUCUCUUUGAUACCAUAUAUAUGUCAAUGAAUUAAAAUCAUUAGAUGCUGGUAAAGAUACUGAGUUUUUCGCAGAUGUUGUAUUUGAGGAGGGCGGUGCAAACAAAGUAAAUUACUCAGCUUAAAAUCUAGAAUUUUUCUUGUGGUAUUGAUUUUAAGGUGUGUUUAUUUUAAAAUGGUUUUGUGUUUAACCAAUUCACGCUCAAAAUCUAGAAUUUCUCUGGUGGUUUUAAUUUUUGUGUCUGUGGAUUUUAUUAUUUUGUGUUUAACCAAUUCACUAUAUCUAUUUAGCUAUAUUAAGGAGAAAAUUUAGUAAGAGUUUUUCUUUCUUUUUUUCUUAAAUUAUAAUAUGUGAUCGUAUAACUUCUACAAGUGGAUGAUAAGAAAAGAGGGAGAAAGACUAAAAACAUCAAGAUCGAACCAAUUUCAUGUUCUUUUGAGCUUCCUCCCUUUUGUUAUGGUACUAGUAAAAUUCAUGUCAUUGAAAGGGUAAGCACUAAUGAGGCACUUGUAUAUAAUUAUUAAAAAAAAUCAUUCUUUAUUUUUAAUUAUGUAUGUGUUUAAGUUUUUUCUUUUAAAAAAAUUAUAUUUUUAAAAACAUAAUUUUUAUGUUGAAAAUGAAAAAAUAUUUAUAUUUAUUUAGAUUAGUGUUUAAAAGAAAAAAAAUCACUUUUAAUUUAUGAGGAAGGGAUACAAAAUCUCUUUUUAAAAUUUUAAAUAAUUUUUCUUUUUAUAUAAAAUCCUUAUAGAAUAAUCUCUUGAUUAUUUAUAUCAAAAUCACUUUAGAAGAGUUUUGUCUUGUAAUGUGUGUUUUCUUGUUGUGCGUAUCUCUUAUGCUUCUUUGUCAGUAAUUCCUUACUUGACCAUUGAAAAAAAACUUGUCCCAUGGAUAUAUAUAUAUGUUUGGGUACCCCUAUUUAUGUUAUGAAAUUUUUCCAAAAGUGUAUUAUGUUCUGAUCUAUCAAACAAACAAAAAUACAAGUAAGGAGAAGAAAUUACCAAUAAUCACCAUACCAGGAGUCUCUCCUUUCUGGUUUUGUCCAGUAUCCACAAUAUCUUCCUCUUUAAGAAUCAAAACUUGGAACACAUGCAUUACUUCCAUAUUAAAACAUGAGCAACCAUUGUCCAGAACAAGAAGGAUUCAUUGAUUUUUCUAAAGUCAACAUCAUCUUACAAGGUGCUUCUGAAAAACCAAUUCCUUCUCCAUGAUUUUUGCUUAGACCAUAAAUCAUAGAUGCUAACUUGCUUCUUCCAAUGGAAUUGGCUAGAAACUCUUGAAGGGCUAGUUCAUGCUUAGUCGGAGCCUUGAUGUCAUUGUCCUCAGAAGAUUUUUCCAAAGCCUUGAUCUUGUUUUCAAGUUCAUUGAUGUAUUCUUUCAAGGUGGGAUGUUCUUUUACCACAAUGCGAUACUGCCUCUAUUGAACUUGAUAUGCAGUACAAGGAUCGGUAGGAACGUCGUUCUCAAGGAUGUCAUUUCUUAGUAGAAGGUGUUCAUAUUGUUUCUCCAUAAAUGUACUGCUUGCUGGUGUCUCCCAAAACACUAGAAGUAUUUUAAGAUUGAAAGACUAAAUACAAGUAUACACUAUCCAAGUGAAGAUGUGAAUAUUUGAUGUUAUGUAAUUUGACGUUGUAAAUGUGUGAUAUUUAAUGAUGAACUAAUGAUAUGACUUAUGAUGUAUGAUAACUUGAACAAUUUAAUCGUCGUUGCUAUAUGCUUAUAAGUGCUGACUAUCUUUGAUAGCAUAAAUAUAAAUAAGCAUGGUGUAUUAUUUAUCUUGAAGCUAUUUCAUGCGUUUCUAUUUCAUAUAUAUUGAUUAUAUUCUUACUCUCUUAAUUGUGGUUGCCACCAACUCCUGUUGAGGGUAAACUUGCAUGUUGAGGACACUUAGUUAUUGUAAGUUUUUCGAGGAUGGCUUUGAAACCAACUCAUUUUUUACCACAUUUCCUUUGGAGUCUAGCAUUGUGUUGCUCUGAUUAUGACAAUUUUUGGGGUUUUGUACUCUUCUUGGAUUAUUUAUUGGAACCUUGGUGUUUAUAUUCGAUGGUGUAUCUUGAGAUAAGAUGUCUUACUUUAUGUUGUUGAGAUCUAUUUUCCGAUACGACAUGUUAUUUAUAUGAUAAACUAUGUAUGGAUUUAUUUAAAUAUUAUAUGCGGGAUUUAGGGCGUUACAAAAUACAUCAUGUGAUCCUUUUAAGUUAUAUGUUUGUAACAAGCUUAACUCCUAAGGUAGUAGCAAUUUUAAAGACUAAAAUGACUAAUUUGUAAAGGACAAAGUUGUUACAAAAGUCUAACUUAAAAACCAUAAAAGUAUUUGAUUGCUCACAUGAUUUUUAACAAGUUCACCUCAGUUUUUUUGUAAAAAAAAUUAAAAAAAAGAAAAUAGUUCACCUCAUUUUUUGGAUGAAGCAUAGCGUAUAAUGCAACAUUAGAUAUGGAGGAAAAGACUUAGCCACAAAAACAUGACAAUGAAAACAUGACAUUGAAGGAAAUUCAAAUAAAAAAUUGGAAUAGAUGACUCUUUAACGGCCCUAGUUUUCUAGUGAGAGAAACUUCACCUUCUCUCUAAGUCUUCUUUCUCCUUCAUUCAUCAAAGAGAGGUGAUUUUAGGUCAUUUUUUGACAUAGAACCAUCCCGCUACAUCUUUUUUCCCUCUUUCUUUCAAUCUAAGUAAGUAUUUUUCACAUAUAUCAAAUUUUUCUUUGUGUUUUUUGUGAUUUCGUCGUCUAAGUACGGUGUUGUGUUAUUCGUCAUUUGUGUGGCGUUUGAUUUUGCGUCUUGUUGCGGUGUUCAAUUAGUUACUGUUGAAAGAUCAACUUCAGUCAGUUACAAAUUCAAUCCAAGAUUUAGGCGUAAACGUUGGAUAUCCAGAAGCAUGGGUAUUUUUGUAACUUAGAUUUUAUCAUAUUAACUUGGGUGUUGUGAGUUUCAUCGCAGAUUCACACUUUACAUUUUUAGCAAUAAAAAUGAUUACCCUAUGAUAAUAACAAGCUUAAAUAUGAACCGGAGGAAGUAACAUGUGAGAACUAAUGAUGUCAAGGUGCCUUGGCCAUAGAAAUUGAGAGAUAAUAUGGAGGACGUUAUGAGGAAUAUUAAUAUAGAGUUAAGCACUUAAAUUAGAAUGGAGAAUAUGGUAUACUAUUAGGAUGAAAGAUGUAGUAAUGGAGAGAACGAAUGACGGGAGUAGAUUAUAAAAUGCAUAAUGAAUGACGAAGAAAUGUGAUGUGUACAUAGGCUCGCAUAAGAUGUUUAUUAAUGAUGUGAAGUUAUUGUCGUACGAUGAAGAUCUAUGUUGAGAUCAUAGUUGUUGAAUGGUGAUGAUGAAUGAUGUAAUAAAUGAUGUUUGUGAAUGACGACUAAUGACGAUGACUUAUCUUGUUUAGGGUGAAAAGUAAAUGAUGAAGUGGGUUAUGUUGUGAUUAAGAGUUAAAGCAUUGGUUAAGGUCGGGGAUGAUAAUAACAAUGAGAAAAUACAUCAAGUUAAUUAAGAUUAAUCAGACGAGAAUUUAAUAGAGCAAAUAGUGUGGGUAUAUGGUGAGACUAAAAAUACACGAUUUAGUAAAAGGGGUGUAAAACGAUGAUAAUGGAGGAUAUGAAGUAGGUGCUUUUCCGAGUAAUUGAGGAUAUUAAUCAUAAUCUCCUUAAACCAAUAAUAAAUUUAGGAAUACCGUUAAAUGAAAGAGUAAAAGAGGCAAGGUAGUUAAGAAACUUAAGAUGAGUGUUAGACCGUAACGUAAAAGGUGUAAAAAUGAAUAAAGAAUAUAAAAGUCUAAUUUAGAUGAUCGUAGACAACGAGAGGGUCGUUAAGACGAAACGUAGGGGAAGAUAAGGAGUUGUAUAUUAAGUAAUGAAAGAUAACUGGAAUGACGAUAAAGAUGAAUAAGACGGCGAUCGAUUGGAAGAUAGCAAGAUGCAUAGGAAAUAGGAUAAAAGGUAAUAGUUAUGAUGGUUGACGAUAAUAAUAACGAUCAGUAUCGAGAGAAGGAAACCUCGAAUUAUAGUGAAGUCUCAUUGGGGAAAGCUGUUGAAGUCGAAUUCAAUGAUAAGGUGAGAUAAUAACUUUAAAUUAGAACGAAGUUAAGAUUAGGUGAAUGGACAAUGCAUAGAUGACUACGCACGUGAGAAUAAAGCAAUAAGAUAUAAGAUCGUUUUAUUGAAAAGAAUAAGUAAAUGGUGAGGAAGAACUUAGUCAUGUAGGGAGUGGAAGUUGUAUGUAAUGAUAAUGAAUAACAAAUUAUCUUGAGACUAGGAAUAGGGAAUAGGAUAUGAAAUUAGGGAUAAAGUUUAUAGAGAGCCUAAAAUAAAGGAGAGAACUCCAUAAAAUGAAUAAUAAAAUAAAAUAGAGGGGUGUUGGCGUAUAAAUGAGUCACGUGUAAGGGUUGGAUUAAUGAAGAGAUAAGGUGGUGAUAUAAACGGUUGAUAGAGAGUAAUGAUGAGGAAUCCAUAAUGUGACGAAGAGUGAUGACAAUUGAUAUUAUAUAUAUGUAAAUAAAUAAAUACAAUGAGAAAUAAUAAUGCUUAUAUUUUAUUGAUGAUGAGGAUGACGACAACUAUAUCAUUAUGAUGAUGAGAGUGAUGAUGUUUAUCUAUGAUGAUGAUGAUGAGAGUGAUGUAUAUAAUGAUGAUAAGAGUGAUAUACAUAUAUAACGAUGACAAGAGUGGUAUCUGAUGAUGAUGAGUAUGAUAAUGAUUUGUUUGCUUGCAUUAGAGUCGUGCGUUUUAGUGGAAGUCUUGAAUUAAUAUGUGAAUUUUUUUUAAUAUGUGUAUACUUGUGUUACUUGUUGAAUUUAUUUCUAUGCAUUCAUAUAGAGUCUAAGACCGAUGGAGUGUAUGACUGAUGGAGAAGUCUAGUAACAUACCUCUGGCAAACUAUGAUGAGAAAAGUCCAGUAACAUAACUAUGGCAAAAUGAUGAGUAGGAGUGGUACCACAAUCAUAUAGGCCGUUAGGAGAUUCCAUAUGGAUAUAUAUGUGAUGAUGUUGUAUUUGGUGUUUGAGUGUGAAGAUGAUGUGUUGCUGUGAUAUGGAAAAUGGAAAGAUUAUACAUAGUAACUGCUGAGAGUGAUGAGAUAGUGGAGAAUAUAUUCUUUUAAUAUUUAUUUAACGUGCAUGCAUUUUCCUAUUAUUAUGUUAUGACAGGAUACCUCACCCCUUAUUUUGUUGUGUUGUUUUCUGUAUGGUGGUUGUACCUUGAGUGCAGAUACUCGGGUUGACGAGGAGUAGCUGUGGGACGUUUUAGAAGGCAAAGAUGAGGGGAUGCCCUCCGUUUAGUACUCUUAUCUAGUAGUUGAAUAAUCAUGUAGUCGCUACAAGCUUUGAUACUGUAACACUAGGGUAGGGGUUAACGAUUUAAUUUUUAAUUGCAUAUUGAGUUUAAUCUUGAAAACUUUCUUAUUUUCUAUUACGAUUAUUGAACGCCAAGUAUAAAUUUAUUAAGGUGAUCAGUGAAUGAUUUUCUUCUUCUCUAGUGGAUCUAUUUUAAAAGAAAACAUUUCAGCAUUAUUUUGUGAUACAAUGUCUAGUCUUGUAACAUCCUUACUAUUAAAUACAUUUAUUUAAUAUUCAUUAUCGGUAAAAUAGGGUGUUACAAUACCUCUCAUACUCUUUCUCGUAAACCCUCGUUACCCUUUCAUUAAUAUGCUCAUUCGAUGACACCAAUAAAUCAAUAGCUUUAUAGGGACCUUCUUUUGCUAACACAACACAUUAAUAAUGAGUUUACAAUUUUGGGCGUAUUUUUAUUGGCACCGUUGUUUUAUGCGGGCACCCCCUACACUAAUCAAAAUUUGGCCAAGCCCAAUCUCCUACAUUAACCCACGACUUAUCUCCUCUCACCCUCAUUUAUAUCAUUCUGAAACCCUAAAAAACACAUUUCUAUUCCUCCUCCCCCUCAAUCGACGCCGCCAACUUACCUCUAACCACCAUCAUCGCGAUCGGCCUCGUUUGGCAAAAAAAAAAAACCUUGUUUUCCUCAUCUCAUCAAUUGUUUAUACCUUUCUAUCCAAACAAAAACACUAAGGGAAUAGAAUGAAAAAUGGGCAGUCCCUUUUUUUGAAGUUUAUCAUGAAGCUUUGGCCUUGUUGCAUCAAUCAUGAACCCUAUCCUUCAUACUUUCAUUCUCAUCUACAAAAUACAUGUAAAGUUUGCAUCAAACUGUGCAAAAAUGAAAAUCUAAAUUCUUUUCCCUUUUCUUUUUAUAGAUGGUUCUACAUGUCUUUUUUUUUUGUUUCUUUAUUCCCUCUUCUUAUCUUUGUUCUUCAAUACUCUUCAUUUGUGUUGAAUUUGUAGAUCUGAUUUUAUUUUUUUCCCUCUUUUCAGUUGCAAUAGUUUCCCUCAACUCAUUUAAUGUUACUUCUGAUUUGUUUGAUCAAAUACUUAAAUACAGAAAUGAUGGAAGGUAGGAUACUCAUCAGUUUUAUACAUAUGAUGGUUUCAUUGUUGCCACUAGAUCUAUUAAUGAAUUUAGUACUACUUGUGAUGAUACUACAAGAAAGAGGAAACUUGCUGCUUUGUUGGCUCAAACUUCUCUGGAAACACAAGUAUAUUCCUUAUUCUAAUUAUUUGAUUAGAUAAUUAGUUAUGUCGACUUUAUAUUGAGCAUGUUUUCUUAAUAACUUUUGAUAUUUGAGAAACAAAAGAAAAUUUUAUUAAUCUUUAAUUGUAAUUUUUUAAUUUAAUAAAUUUUCAGGAUGAAAAUUUAAAGUUAAUUACUUUGCACUUAUCAUGUUUCUCAUUAUUCUUUUUUUAUUUUGAUAAAUGUGUUUGGUAUAAUGAUAAACAUGAUAUGUGCAAGGUAAUUAGAAACCAUAUUAUCGUUGAUUGUUCUUGAAAUCAUUUAUAAUGUUUUUCUUUGAUCUUUACCUUUGUAUAUAUUAGACCUGAUUUUAAAGUCUAUCAUUUAACUCCAAAACGAUACUUAAACCCUAUUUAUAUGUUUUGUAUUGAUUUGUGCUUUUUAUUUGGAUCAAUGCAAACCCAACUCUGAAAGUUACUCUCUGAUAUUUGGGUGCAUCGAUCAUGUGGAACUAUCAGCGGUGACUCUCCAACUCAACACAUUCAAUCUUUUUAAUUUGAAGACUGGAUGCUUAUGGUUUCCUGCUAAAGUUCAUAAGGUAAGACUAAUUAUAUCUUAGUUACUAUUUUAUCAUUUUGUCGCUAUAGAUUAGAAAAUAGUCGAAGUAUAAUUUUUUUUACUUCUACUAGUAAACCUUCGAUAGCAUAAUUCAAGUAUUCCUAUUAUUUCUAUUAUUUCAAGUAUUGCUAUUAUUUCUCAAUUUAAACUAGUAUAAAAGUUAGCCAUACAUAUAUAAUUUAGACAAAAGGAAAGAUCAAAAUUAAAGAAUAUACAUAUGAAAUUUAUGGGAAAAAACAAUUAUAUGAAAACAUAUGGUAGUGCUAUUUGGUACUCAUAUAUCUGAUUUGAGGAUAUGUAAAUAUCAUUCUUGAAGUGUGGGAAUAAGAAAAUGAUAUUAAUACAUGACAUCAAACAUGAUAGAAUGACUAAAACAUGAGAUUGUGAACAUAUUUAAUUUAAUAUUUAAUAAUUUUAAUAAUGUUAUUUACUAAUCAUCAAUAGAAAAAUAUAAGCGACAUGAGUCUUAAAAGUGAAAUUAUUUGGUCUAAAAUUUAGACCAACACAUUUCAAUAAUAAGACUGUUUUUGAUUUUUUUUUUUUUUUUUUUUUUGACAAAAGAUAUAAUCUGUUUUACAGAGAGAGUAUCUUCAUUUGGUCUAAAAUUAAUAAAUGAAUGAUAAAGUUUUUUUAAUGGCAAAUGUUAAAUUAUAGGCCAACAAGUUGAGGCCAUUGUAAAAAGUUGAUAGCUAUAAAGGGGGGCUUUUUUAAAUUAUACUUAUGUGUAUUGUUUCAUUCAUUUUAUUAAUAAAUGUCAAAAAAAAAAAAAAUUACUCUUAAAGUAGAAUGAAGAUAGUAAAUAAAAGAAUAAAUUGAUUAAAUAUUUUCACAUUCAACCAAUCACGAUUCUAAAAGGAAAUAUAUGAUUUCUUCGAGUCAUAGUAAUCGUAUUUAAAUGCCCUUCUAAGAUUAUACUUCUUGUCAAACAAUAUCUUGUUGUAGUUACUCUAUCAUGUUUUAGGCUUUACAUGACUAUUACAUUGUUUUAUUUAAAUAUUAGUUUCCUAUAUCCACACACAUUUGAAAAAGAAAAAAAAAACAUUUGGAAAAGUGCAUGCCAGAAAAUAUAUUAAGGAGAAGUACCCAUGUCAUGAAUUUCAUUAGUAUCAUAACAAAUAGGAGGAAGGUCAAGAGACAAUGAGAUCGAUUUGGUCAUGAUGUUUUUAGUCUUUCUUCCUCUUUUCUUUUCCUCCACCAGUAUAAGUUAUACCAUCACAUAUUAUAAUUUGAGAGAAAAUGAAAGAAAGACUCUUAUUAAAGUUUCUCCAUAAUAUAGCUGAAUAGAUCUAGUGAAUUGUUAAACACAAUAAAAUUCACACACGCAAAAAUUAAAAUCACAAGAGAAAUUCUAGAUUUUAAGCGUGAAUUGGUUAAACACAAAAACAUUUUAAAAUCCACACAUCAAAAAAUCAAUACCAAAUGAGAAAUUCUAGAUUUUAAGCUGAGUAAUUUACUUUGUUUGCACUAUCCUCCUCAAAUAUAACAUCUGUGAAAAGCUCUGGAUCUUUACCAGUAUCUAAUGAUCUUAAUUCAUUAACGUAUAUCUGGUAUGUAUAUCUGGUAUCAGAGAAAAAUGAAAUGUUAAUUAGUUGAUAUUCUCUUGUGAAUAAAAUAUAAGAAAAAAUUGAUUAAAAAAAUCGAAUAUGUUUGACUCCUAUAGUCUUUUUUUUAUAUAUAUUUCAUUUAAGAAGGAGUAGUAUCCUAGUUAUAUAAACUAUGCAGACAAAUGAAAUCUACAAUUAAAGUGAUCACUUACAUCAUAUUCCUUCUUGAGGUAAUCAUCAAUUGGCUCACAAAGAAUUUUAUAACUAACGAGAACCACCACUCAUGCUUGUUUAUCCACAUUUAAGGUAUCCCCUAGCUGCUCGAUAAUCUCUUUAUAAUCGAUAGAUAGUACACUUAUAAGGUACAAGGAAUGGGUAUGAAUGAAGAACCUUUAAAAAAAAAGAGGGUUUGAAUGAAGAAUACUAUUUGUGUGUAAGCCUCAGAUGUCUGGUUGUAUAUAUAGCCGAAAAAUUAACAGCUAGGUAUAAAAUAUAUUUAUUUUAGUAUAAAGGUAUAUAAUAAAUAUUAUAUACCUUUGUACCGAAAUAAAUACAUCUUAUACCUAGCUAUUAGUUUUUCUGCUAUAUAUAUACAACAAGAAAUCUGAGGAGUAGGCACAAGUAGUAUUCUUCAUUCAUAUCAUCUUUUUUUUAGAGGUUCUUCAUUCAUACAUGUUCCUUUUACGUUAUAAGUGUGGUACCUAUGGAUUAUAAAGAGAUCAUUGAGCGGUUAGGGGCUACCUUAAAUGUGGAUAAACAAAUAUGGGUGGUUGGUUCCAGUUAGUUAUAAGACUCUCGUGAGAUAAUUGAAGAUUACCUCAAGAAGGAAUAUGAUGUAAGUGAUCACUCUAAUUGUAGAUCUCAUUUCAGCAUAGUUUAUAUAAUUGAGAUACUACUCCCUAUUAAAUGAAAUAUAUAUAAAAAAUAAGAGUCAAAUUUAUUUGAUCUCAAAUUCAAAGCAAACAUAUUUGAUUUUAUUAAAUAAUUUUUUCUUAUAUUAUAUUCUCAAGAGAGUAUCAACCAAAAUCAUUAAAUGUUUGUAGAUAUCAUGAGCUUUUUGUAGAUGUUGUAUUUGAGGAGGGCGGUGCAAACAAAUUAAAUUACUAAGUUUAAAAUAUAGAAUUUAUCUUGCAGUAUUGAUUUUUGGGUGUGUGGAUUUUAAAAUGUUUGUGUUUAACCAAUUCACAUUCAAAAUCUAGAAUUUCUCUCGUGGUUUUAAAUUUUGUGUGUGUGGAUUUUAUUAUUUUUAUUGUGUUUAACAAUUAUUAUCAAUUAUUUAGUAACUUUUUUUUAAAUUAAACUACUUCCUUGUAAGUAGGAGUAUUUUCUGUUUCGGUCAAAAAAUACAGAAAAACUAAAAGCUUAAACGAUCAACGCUAUAUUUUGUUUAAUUUUAUUUUUAACUUUUCUAUUUAUAUUUAUAUUCCUUUCCUUUGUGUUCAAGUCAUGAAGUAGAAUUUGUUUAAAAAAAAAAUCAUGAAGUAGAAGUAUUAAAAGAAGAAAAAAGUCAUGAAGUAGAAAACUCAAACACUUCUUCACGUAAACAUUACAUUAAAAAAAUUUCAACUACGUUUUCUUUGUUUUUUUAUUAGUACUAAUGUUAAUGUUUUUCUCUUAUUCGUAUCACACACUUGUUAGAAUUUUUGUUAUAUAUAUAUAUAUAUAUAUGUUUUUAUCACACACUUGUUAUAUUAUUAUUUACAAAUUGAUUUUGAGAUAGAUAAGAGGAAGAAAAUGGUUUUUAGUGUAGUAAAGGUAGAAAAAGAUACUAUUGCUGAAGAAAUUAUAAAAGAAUUACCAAUUCCUGAUAAAAAAGAAGAAGAGAAAAAUAAUUUAUGUAUUUAUUCUUUUUCUUCAAACUUCCAAUUGAUAAUACUUCAGUUGAAGAAAUACACAAAUUAUUUUCCUCUUCUUCUUUUUUAUCAAUAACAGAUAAUUCUGUUAUAAUUUCUUCAGCAAUAGUAUCUUCUUCUACCUUAACUACACCAUAAACCAUUUUCUUCCUCUUAUCUAUCUCAAAAUCAAUUAUUUAAAUCAUAAUAUAACAAGUGUGUGAUAAGAACAAAACAAUAUAUAUAUAUAUAUAUAUAUAUAACAAAAAUUCUAACAAGUGUGUGAUACGAAUAAGAGCAAAAACAUUAGUACUAAUAAAAAAAACAAAGAAAACAUAAUUGAAGAAAUUUGAAUGUAACAUACUGAAGAAGCGUUUGAGUUUUCUACUUCAUGACUAUUUUUUUUAUUUUAAUACUUCUACUUCAUGAUUUUUUUUUUAAACAAAAUCUACUUCAGGACUUGAACACAAAGGAAAGGAAUUUAAAUAUAAAUAUCAAUAAAAAGGUUAAAAAUAAAAUUAAACAAAAUAUAGCAUUGACCGUUUGGGCUUUCAGUUUUUUGGUAUUUUUUAACCGAAACAGAAAAUACUCCUACUUACAAGGAAGUAGUUUAAUUUUAAAAAAGCUACUAAAUAAUUGAUAAUAUCCUUCCUUCCUUACAUCAAGAAUACAUUAAAGAAUUUAAUACUAAGCUAGAGCGUGGUAUGGCUUGGUGAUUCAGUGUUAUGGCCGUUUAUUAACCUCUUAAGCUAACUGAGGUUAACCGAGCUAUAAUAGAUUUAUAUAGCGUUAGUUUUACAAAUGGGUUACAAGAAAUUAGCUUAAAAAAUUUCAUAAAGAACAACCCUAAUUUCUACCCAUUUUUCCAAUCUCACCAAUGAACAAGACACUCAAUGAUUUUCACUCACCCAAGGUGUUUACAAUUUUUCCCAACCCAAGAGAAUUCUAAUCAAAGACUCUCAACCUUAAAAUUACCUCCUUUGAUUUCCCAAGUUUCUGCCUCUUCCACCUCUCUUGAACUAUCCUUCAAAAUCUGCAAAGAAACACUUAUAUAGCAGUCUUUAGCUGUCAAAAUCGUGUCAUAUUUUGCCAAAUCGUGACACGUUUGGUGCGUACGAUCCAAGGUACGACCAACCUUGUCCUGAAAACUUGCUUAGCAAACCGAAAAUCGUGUCACGUUUUCCCAAAAUCGUGUCACGAUUAGGCACCCUUCAAAACAACUAUCGACAUUGCAAAAUCGUGACACGCCUAUGAAAUCGUGUCACGAUUUCUCUGUAUUCCCAACUUCACAAUUUGAAGGCAUAAACAACACAGAGAAAAGAAGAGAGGAGAAGAAGAAAAGCCUAGCUGAAGAGAAGAGAGUCCAUAACUGUAUUUCUGUAGAAUUCGAGAUAAGGGGAGAAUCAUUUCAUCUUAGGGUUUCUUAAUUGUAAUAGUGGGAUUGUUUAAUCUUAAGAACCUAAUUGUUGUUGUGAUGAAAAUUAUGAUGAAAGAAUGAUGAUGAACAAAUGUAAUAAAGGUUGAUGUUGUUGUUGAAAGAUUAGAAUUGAAGAAACCAAAAGUAGGAUGAAUGAAUUGGAAAUUUAAACCAGUGUACCUAAUUGAGGGGAUGUGUUUAAGUGUGUUUUAAAGUAAUAUUCUUAAAAUAUGGCGAGUCUAAAACGUGAGUUAGUUAAGGGAGCAGGGCCGGCCCUAGGGCAUAGGCCGCGAGUGCGACGGCCUAGGGCCCAUGCCGGGAGGGGGCCCAAAUUUUUUUUAAGGUAAGGGGGUGUAUAUAGAAAUAUUUGGAUUUAGGGGGUGUAUAUAGAAUAAUUCUCUGCAAAGGCCCAAACUUUGACAUGCUAAAGGAAUGGGCUGACAUCUGUUAGUAUUUUUCGCCCUUUUAGUGAGAUUUGCUAUAUAUAUCCCAUGUAACACAAAUUUCUAUAUACACCCUCCUAUAAAAAAAAUUGGUUGUUCUUGAUAAUAUGCUCAAAAAUUUAUUAUCGAAGAAAUUGGUGAUAUUUUUUUGGGCCCUUUGUUCAUAAUAAUGUGCUUCACUAAUAUUAAAAAUAUCGACGAUAUUUAUUAUCCAAGAAAUUGAGAUAAUUUUCAUAACAGAGCAAAUUCUAGUUGAAAAUAGGGUGCUAAAAUUUCAGUCUACUUCGCAUGUGCUAUUUUUCUCUACUUCUACGGUAUUUUUAUUUUGUUUUGGUGUAUAUAAAAUAUUUAAUUUAUUUUCAGAUGUUGUCUAAAAAAACAUUUAUUUUGUAGUGAAAACCGAAAUAAAAAAACGAAAUGAAAAGCAAAAAAACAAAACAAUGAGCUAAAAAAAUUAUGAUACAUUAUGUAAGGGCCCUUUUUCAUAUUAUGCCUAAAGCCUGAAAAACUCUAGGAACGGGCCUGUAAGGGAGCCUAAGGUAAAGUUAAAAGGGGUAUGAAGAAAUGGUUCAAGAAAUAAAUGAUGUUGCCAAGAGUAGUUCCUUAGGGUAAUGAAGAAGAGUCUAACGAUAUAAAUGGAUUAGAAGGGUAUAAACUAGUAAAUCAAGAAUAUAGUUACAGUGCCUUACAAUAAAAUGAUGAUAUCAAAAAAGAUUAAAUAAGUGAUGAUAAGGACUUACAAUACAAUGAACUAGACGUACGAGUAGAAGGCAUUAUAAGUAAUGGUAAUGACGAGGUAGAAGUCUUAAACCAAGACGAAGGAUAUGGUAUGUCAUUAGACUAAAAGUCAUCGAAAGAGAGGAAAACUAAUGUUGAUAUGAGAUGAAAAUGUGAUUUGGGUAACAACGAGAUGAAUUAUAUCACAUAUACAUAUAUGGGGAUGAUUGAGAAUGAGAAAUUAAGCGUCGUAUGAUGUUAAUUAACGAUGAAAUAAUACUUUAUGCAUGAUGAUGAAUGAUGCUUGUGAGUGAGGACUAAUGACGAAUGACAUAUUUUAUUGAUAAAUACGUGUAAAUGAUGAAAUGAUUUUGUUGGAUGAUGAGUCAAUAAUUAGUGUUUUUAAUAUAUUAUUUGAG
rnacentral:lncRNA from 1 species